CCGUGCCAAUGAACAAGAUAUUCUAGCUUAUUUCGGCACCGCCUUGAGUCUAAUAUCUCUUCCACCUCAAAUUCUUCAUUAUUAUCUACUUCUAUAGGAGGCGGUGGCAUUUGUCUUCUUCCUUUUAUAUCCACUGUCUUAUAUGGUUCAAAAAGAGACACGUGGAAUACAAGAUGGAUCUUCAUUGACUCUGGUAGAUGUAACCGAUAUGCAACUGGGUUGAACUGUUCAGAAACAGAAAAGGGGCCAAGCCUACAAUAGUCCAACUUGUCACAAGGUCGAGUAGUCUUGAUAUUGCGAUGAAGUAGCCAUACCUUAUCACCCACGUUGAUUUGUGGUUGCUCCUUACGAUAUAGAUCUGAGUUUAUCUUUUGUCGUUCUUGAGCUUCCUUCAAUUGCGUCUUCAUUAUUGCAUAUAACUCUGACAACCGAUUUGCCAUAUCUUCUGCUACAGGAUUAUCAACUUUUGAAAAAUCAAAAGUAUCAAGUCGUGGAUGAUAGCCAUAAUUGGCAAAGAAAGGUGUUUGUUGCGUGGAAGAAUGUACCAUAUUAUUAUAAGCAAACUCUGCCAAUGGCAGAAGGGUUGUCCAAUCAUCUUGUUGGUAGUCGAUAGUACACCUUAAAUAUUGCUCCAAGACUUGGUUUAUGCGCUCUGUUUGUCCAUCAGUUUGAGGAUGGAAAGCCGAAGAUAGCUUUAUGUCUACUUUUAAAAUCUUGAAAAGGGUCCUCCAGAAUCUUGACACAAAUUGAGUUCUCCUAUCUGAUAUGAUAUCUUUAGGUAAUCCAUGAUAGCGAUAGAUAUUAUCAAUGAAAAGCUUAGCUGUUUCUUCACCUGUGAUAGAUUUUGUACAUGGCACAAAAUGUGCCAUCUUGGUGAAACGAUCUACUAUCACAAAUAUAGAAUCAUAAGAUCUUGAGCUUGGAAGAUCUGUGAUGAAAUCCAUAGAAACAGAAGACCAUGGUUGUUCUGGUAUAGGUAAUGGCUGAAGAAGUCCGUAAGGUCGAUGACGAGGAAUUUUUGAUCUUGAACAAAUAUCACAUGAUUGUACAAAGUCUUUGACUGACUUUCACAUUUGUGGCCACCAAAAAUCUCUUGAUAUGAGUUCCAAAGUCUUAUUAUAUCCAAAGUGCCCUACUGUUGGAAAGUCAUGACGUGCUUGAAGAACACGUAAACGUGCUUCUCCUUCUAGAACAUAUAGGCGUCCUUUAAAAUAUAAUAGAUUAUUCUUGAACUCGAACUUAGAAGGAUCAUGAGACUUGGAAGAAUUAUUCUCGAUAUCAUAAACAAGAGGGUCUGAGGACAUACUGGACUGGAUUUGCUUGAGAAAAGUUGAAUCAACAGUCAAUGUUGAUUUCAUUGCUCGGAGAUGAAAUUGCUCCGAUUUCAAGAGGACCGUUCUUUGUUACUCAAAAGCUGCAUCUCCUUCUUUUGGUGCAAAAUAAGAACGUCUAGAUAGGGCAUCAGACAAACCUUGUUGUUUUUCUGGUCGAUAAGUGAUAAUGAACUCGAAUCUUGAUAAAGACAUACUCCAACGUGCUUGACGACGAUUCAAUACGCGUGCUGACAUGAAAUACUCAAGGUUCUUGUGAUCUGUAUACACAGUGACUGGACUAGAAGCGCCUUCUAGAUAAUGACGCCAUUCUUGAAAGGAAUCCAUGAUCGCAAGAAGUUCUUUAUCGUGGAUCUCAUAAUUGAUCUCGGCUGCUGAGAAUUUUCUUGAAUGAAAAGCUAUCGGAUGAAGUUUGUCAUCUGUUCCCAUUUGUGAUAAAACUGCACCCAAGGCAAAAUCUGAUGCAUUUGUUUCCAUAAAAAAUGCCUUGGAAAAAUCAACACGAUAUAAGACUGGUGCAGAGACAAACGAUGUCUUCAAGGCUUCAAAUGCUGCUUCCGCUUCUUGAUUCCAUUGGAAUUUAUCUUUACUAGUCAAGCGUGUAAGUGGAGCUGCAACUCGUGAGAAAUCUUUGAUGAAGAUCCGAUAGUAAUUGGCAAAUCCCAAGAAACAUUGGACAUCUCUUAUGUCCUUGGAAUCUUCCAAUCCAUGAUUGUUUGGACUUUUUUAGAAUCCAUCAUGAGACCAUCAUUUGAAAUGAUGUAUCCUAAAAAGUCAACUUGAGUAGUGUGAAAUACACACUUUUCCAUCUUGGCGUACAAUCCUGCAUCUCUAAGUUUUUGUAAUACUUGACGAACAUGUAUUUCAUGUUCUUCGACGUUCUUAGAAUAGAUCAGGAUAUCGUCUAGAUAGUACACAACAAAAUUGUCUAAGAAUUCACGAAAUACAUCAUUCAUGAGAUGUUGAAAAGCAGCUGGUGCAUUUGUGAGUCCAAAGGGCAUGAUAUUAUAUUCGAAAUGUCCAUACUUGGUUCGAAACGCAGUCUUCCAUUCAUCUCCUUCUUUGAUCCGUACUAGAUUAUAUGCUCCUCUUAGAUCUAUUUUUGUAUAGAUCUUAGCUUGAUUCAACUGGUCAAGGAGUCCUGAUAUCAAAGGUAAUGGAUACCUGUUCUUGAUUGUGAUCUUGUUGAGUCCUCGAUAAUCAACACACAUUCGUAAAGAUCCAUCUUUUUUCUUUACGAAUAGAAUUGGAGCUCCUGCUGGAGAUUUUGAAUGGCGUAUGAAAUUCUUCGCUAAAUUCUCAUCAAUAUAUGUCUUGAGUUCAGCCAUCUCAUCUUGCGAUAAACUGUAAAUUGAUCCAAAUGGUGGCUGAGUUCCUUCCUUGAGGUCGAUUGAACAAUCAUAUGGGCGAUGCUCAGGAAGAAUAUCUGCAUUCUUUUUCUCAAAAACGUCUUGAUACUCUUGAUAUUGACUUGGAAUGCCAAUUGAAGUCUUUACGUUUUCAGAAAUAGAUGCAGCAUAAAUAGCAAAAGUUGAUCCUUCUUUUGCUGCGUGUAUAAAUGCUUUUGCACCUAUCAGUACGGGUUUUAUUAUAUUAGACUUAUAAUUUUUUACUUGGUUGGUAGAACUAUUAAUAAUGCUUUGGGAAAAGUCAAGUUUACGCAAAUUCCAAUCUAUUCGAGGAUUAUAUUUUUCUAGCCAAGAUAAACCUAAAAUAACUGGAUUGGACGGGGAUUUAAUUAUGUUAAAAGCUAUGUAGCUAUCAUGACCGUCUAUUGUUACUUUUAUAGGAUGAGUUUCAUGAGUGACAUCUCCAGAAGACAAGGGCCGACCAUCUAUGACUUCUACAUGUACUGGUUUAGGUUUCUGUACAAAGGGUAUUUUACGACUUUUAACAAAUUGUUCAUCUAAAAAACAUGCUGAGGCUCCCGAAUCUAAUAAAGCAGAGGCUUUGUAAUUCUUAGGUCCUAAAUAUAAGUCUAUUAUAAAACAAGGAGAGGGUUCUGAGGAGAGGAUAGGACCUUCAUUAGGAAUUGUACAAGGUUCCAACUGCACGGUCCCUAUUGUAGCUGGACGAAUCCGUUUUCCGACAUGUUGUCUUCUUUGACCGUCGUACCCCUCAUUUUAUAGUUGCGUCGUUUCUUUGGACAAUGUUGAGCAGUGUGCUUAGGUUCUCCGCAAUAUAAACAUAAUCAUUCUUGACGACGACGAAUCUUUUCUUGCUCAGUUAGGGGUUUAAAACGUACCGCGUCAAUUUGCAUGUCUUCUACUUCUGAAUGUAUGUUUGGCAAAGAUGUUGAUGUUGCCAUUGAGUAAUAACGUUGAGGUUCCCGUGAAUGAUUCUCAGAUCGAAAUUCGAAAAGUUAAUUAUCACAUUUUACCGCAAAAUCGAUUGCUUGACUCAAAGUUUGAGGAUCAGGUAAGUUGAGCAUCAAUUUCUUUACUUCGUAUUGCAAUCCAUAAAGAAAUUGACUGAUGAGUGCAGCAUCAUCCCACUUGAUGUCAAUUGCAAGUUGUAGAAAUUGUGAAGCAUAUACUGUUACUGAGUAAUUUUCUUGUCGCAGAAUUCGGAUCUUAUUUGUUGCAACACGAGUUGCAUCGUGUUCACCAUACAUAGAUCGAAACUCCACCAAAAAAGCUUCCAAAUUGUCCAAUAUUGGAUUUCGUUGUUCAAGAAAAGACGAAAACCACGAUAAUGCAGAACCAGAAAGUAGAGUGCGAAUAAACCUGACUUGUGAUUCUGGAGUUGGAUAGCUUUGCGGUUGAAGUUCAAUUGCCAAUUGUACUUGAUUGAUGAACCCUCGAAACUUUGAUCUCGUACCAUCAAAUUUCUCAAGUAAGGCAAUUCUUGGUUCUCUAGUGCUUAUAGGGUGUUGUACAAUUGGAGAAGGAACGUGAUUUGUGUCACGGCCAUAAUCAUAUAAGCAAAUAAUUACAUAUAGAAAUAGGUAGAAGUUAGUAAAAGUAGAUAUAAGUAAGUUAAUUCUAUAAUAUUUAAUAUAAAAGCUUCCUAGAAACUUCCUAGACGCUGCUUUGACUUCAUUGGUGUCUUUAAUUGACUUUUUGGAUUAGAAACGUAGUCAACAAGUUGGCCAUGUGCCACACAUGUUGUUAGCUUGAAGAUCAAGCUAACUAUGUGGUCCACACGUAGAAAAACUUGCCUUGUAAGUCAAGGCAUGUGUUCUACAAAGUCAACACAUAUUGGAGGUCCUAUAGAACGUCGCCACGUAGCCCCUAAUUAGAUAGUAUAUAUAGAGACAAGAGUGAAGGCUUCUUCACUCUUGUCAACUCCGUUCUUGCUUCUAGUCCAAGUUCAAGAGUCUUUAGUUUCUUGUCUUGUGACAAUAGCCAUUCCAAUUUCCUUUUAAUAUACCUACUUGUUUAUAUUUUGACUUAUUGUAUCGAGAUAGCCUUUUGGUGUAUAUUUUCCCUCAUCGAGUCUUUGUCCUUGACAGAUUGACAAGAGUACACUUACAAUAUCAGAGCUUUGUUUCUUCUUGAGUAAGAGUGGAUUACCCCUUUCUCUUGACAAGACAUAAGCGUAUUAGAAGUUUGCGGAUUACCCACUUCUAAACUGAUAUUGUUCUUAGUAUCUUCUUUGUUAUCAAGUCUUUCUUUUCUUUUGUCUUGAGCAAUAUCAAACAAAUUUUUUUUCUUAGUGUCAUUAUGGCAGAGCUUGUUGAAAUGAAGAGUACAAUGGCACAAAUGCAAGAGCAAAUGAGGGAGUUAAUGCUUGCGAUGCAUCAACUCAAUUCACCAACACAGAAAAGAACAAGAAUAGCAGAAAGUGGAGAUAUAGAGAUGAUCGGAGCUGCUUCAACAUCUACAAUAAAUCACGUUCCUUCUCCAAUUGUACAACACCCUAUAAGCACUAGAGAACCAAGAAUUGCCUUACAUGAGAAAUUUGAUGGUACGAGAUCAAAGUUUCGAGGGUUCAUCAAUCAAGUACAAUUGGCAAUUGAACUUCAACCGCAAAGCUAUCCAACUCCAGGAUCACAAGUCAAGUUUAUUGGCACUCUACUUUGUGGUUCUGUAUUAUCGUGGUUUUCGUCUUUUCUUGAACAACGAAAUCCAAUAUUGGACAAUUUGGAAGCUUUUUUGGCGGAGUUUCGAUCUAUGUAUGGUGAACACGAUGCAACUCGUGUUGCAACAAAUAAGAUCCGAAUUCUGCGACAAGAAAAUUACUCAGUUACAGUAUAUGCUUCACAAUUUCUACAACUUGCAAUUGACAUCAAGUGGGAUGAUGCUGCACUCAUCAGUCAAUUUCUUUAUGGAUUGCAAUACGAAGUAAAGAAAUUGAUGCUCAACUUACCUGAUCCUCAAACUUUGAGUCAAGCAAUCGAUUUUGCGGUAAAAUGUGAUAAUUAACUUUUCGAAUUUUGAUCCGAGAAUCAUUCACGGGAACCUCAACGUUAUUACUCAAUGGCAAGAUCAACAUCUUUGCCAAACAUACAUUCAGAAGUAGAAGACAUGCAAAUUGACGCGGUACGUUUUAAACCCCUAACUGAGCAAGAAAAGAUUCGUCGUCGUCAAGAAUGAUUAUGUUUAUAUUGCGGAGAACCUAAGCACACUGCUCAACAUUGUCCAAAGAAACGACGCAACUAUAAAAUGAGGGGUACGACGGUCAAAGAAGACAACAUGUCGGAAAACGGAUUCGUCCAGCUACAAUAGGGACCGUGCAGUUGGAACCUGGUACAAUUCCUAAUGAAGGUCCUAUCCUCUCCUCAGAACCCUCUCCUUGUUUUAUAAUAGACUUAUAUUUAGGACCUAAGAAUUACAAAGCCUCUGCUUUAUUAGAUUCGGGAGCCUCAGCAUGUUUUUUAGAUGAACAAUUUGUUAAAAGUCGUAAAAUACCCUUUGUACAGAAACCUAAACCAGUACAUGUAGAAGUCAUAGAUGGUCGGCCCUUGUCUUCUGGAGAUGUCACUCAUGAAACUCAUCCUAUAAAAGUAACAAUAGACGGUCAUGAUAGCUACAUAGCUUUUAACAUAAUUAAAUCCCCGUCCAAUCCAGUUAUUUUAGGUUUAUCUUGGCUAGAAAAAUAUAAUCCUCGAAUAGAUUGGAAUUUGCGUAAACUUGACUUUUCCCAAAGCAUUAUUAAUAGUUCUACCAACCAAGUAAAAAAUUAUAAGUCUAAUAUAGUAAAACCCGUACUGAUAGGUGCAAAAGCAUUUAUACACGCAGCAAAAGAAGGAUCAACUUUUGCUAUUUAUGCUGCAUCUAUUUCUGAAAACGUAAAGACUUCAAUUGGCAUUCCAAGUCAAUAUCAAGAGUAUCAAGACGUUUUUGAGAAAAAGAAUGCAGAUAUUCUUCCUGAGCAUCGCCCAUAUGAUUGUUCAAUCGACCUCAAGGAAGGAACUCAGCCACCAUUUGGAUCAAUUUACAGUUUAUCGCAAGAUGAGAUGGCUGAACUCAAGACAUAUAUUGAUGAGAAUUUAGCGAAGAAUUUCAUACGCCAUUCAAAAUCUCCAGCAGGAGCUCCAAUUCUAUUCGUAAAGAAAAAAGAUGGAUCUUUACGAAUGUGUGUUGAUUAUCGAGGACUCAACAAGAUCACAAUCAAGAACAGGUAUCCAUUACCUUUGAUAUCAGGACUCCUUGACCAGUUGAAUCAAGCUAAGAUCUAUACAAAAAUAGAUCUAAGAGGAGCAUAUAAUCUAGUACGGAUCAAAGAAGGAGAUGAAUGGAAGACUGCGUUUCGAACCAAGUAUGGACAUUUCGAAUAUAAUAUCAUGCCCUUUGGACUCACAAAUGCACCAGCUGCUUUUCAACAUCUCAUGAAUGAUGUAUUUCGUGAAUUCUUAGACAAUUUUGUUGUGUACUAUCUAGACGAUAUCCUGAUCUAUUCUAAGAACGUCGAAGAACAUGAAAUACAUGUUCGUCAAGUAUUACAAAAACUUAGAGAUGCAGGAUUGUACGCCAAGAUGGAAAAGUGUGUAUUUCACACUACUCAAGUUGACUUUUUAGGAUACAUCAUUUCAAAUGAUGGUCUCAUGAUGGAUUCUAAAAAAGUCCAAACAAUCAUGGAUUGGAAGAUUCCAAGGACAUAAGAGAUGUCCAAUGUUUCUUGGGAUUUGCCAAUUACUAUCGGAUCUUCAUCAAAGAUUUCUCACGAGUUGCAGCUCCACUUACACGCUUGACUAGUAAAGAUAAAUUCCAAUGGAAUCAAGAAGCGGAAGCAGCAUUUGAAGCCUUGAAGACAUCGUUUGUCUCUGCACCAGUCUUAUAUCGUGUUGAUUUUUCCAAGGCAUUUUUUAUGGAAACAAAUGCAUCAGAUUUUGCCUUGGGUGCAGUUUUAUCACAAAUGGGAACAGAUGACAAACUUCAUCCGAUAGCUUUUCAUUCAAGAAAAUUCUCAGCAGCCGAGAUCAAUUAUGAGAUCCACGAUAAAGAACUUCUUGCGAUCAUGGAUUCCUUUCAAGAAUGGCGUCAUUAUCUAGAAGGCGCUUCUAGUCCAGUCACUGUGUAUACAGAUCACAAGAACCUUGAGUAUUUCAUGUCAGCACGCGUAUUGAAUCGUCGUCAAGCACGUUGGAGUAUGUCUUUAUCAAGAUUCGAGUUCAUUAUCACUUAUCGACCAGAAAAACAACAAGGUUUGUCUGAUGCCCUAUCUAGACGUUCUUAUUUUGCACCAAAAGAAGGAGAUGCAGCUUUUGAGUAACAAAGAACGGUCCUCUUGAAAUCGGAGCAAUUUCAUCUCCGAGCAAUGAAAUCAACAUUGACUGUUGAUUCAACUUUUCUCAAGCAAAUCCAGUCCAGUAUGUCCUCAGACCCUCUUGUUUAUGAUAUCGAGAAUAAUUCUUCCAAGUCUCAUGAUCCUUCUAAGUUCGAGUUCAAGAAUAAUCUAUUAUAUUUUAAAGGACGCCUAUAUGUUCUAGAAGGAGAAGCACGUUUACGUGUUCUUCAAGCACGUCAUGACUUUCCAACAGUAGGGCACUUUGGAUAUAAUAAGACUUUGGAACUCAUAUCAAGAGAUUUUUGGUGGCCACAAAUGUGAAAGUCAGUCAAAGACUUUGUACAAUCAUGUGAUAUUUGUUCAAGAUCAAAAAUUCCUCGUCAUCGACCUUACGGACUUCUUCAGCCAUUACCUAUACCAGAACAACCAUGGUCUUCUGUUUCUAUGGAUUUCAUCACAGAUCUUCCAAGCUCAAGAUCUUAUGAUUCUAUAUUUGUGAUAGUAGAUCGUUUCACCAAGAUGGCACAUUUUGUGCCAUGUACAAAAUCUAUCACAGGUGAAGAAACAGCUAAGCUUUUCAUUGAUAAUAUCUAUCGCUAUCAUGGAUUACCUAAAGAUAUCAUAUCAGAUAGGAGAACUCAAUUUGUGUCAAGAUUCUGGAGGACCCUUUUCAAGAUUUUAAAAGUAGACAUAAAGCUAUCUUCGGCUUUCCAUCCUCAAACUGAUGGACAAACAGAGCACAUAAACCAAGUCUUGGAGCAAUAUUUAAGGUGUACUAUCGACUACCAACAAGAUGAUUGGACAACCCUUCUGCCAUUGGCAGAGUUUGCUUAUAAUAAUAUGGUACAUUCUUCCACGCAACAAACACCUUUCUUUGCCAAUUAUGGCUAUCAUCCACGACUUGAUACUUUUGAUUUUUCAAAAGUUGAUAAUCCUGCAGCAGAAGAUAUGGCAAAUCGGUUGUCAGAGUUAUAUGCAAUAAUGAAGACGCAAUUGAAGGAAGCUCAAGAACGACAAAAGAUAAACUCAGAUCUAUAUCGUAAGGAGCAACCACAAAUCAACGUGGGUGAUAAGGUAUGGCUACUUCAUCGCAAUAUCAAGACUACUCGACCUUGUGACAAGUUGGACUAUUGUAGGCUUGGCCCCUUUUCUGUUUCUGAACAGUUCAACCCAGUUGCAUAUCGGUUACAUCUACCAGAGUCAAUGAAGAUCCAUCUUGUAUUCCACGUGUCUCUUUUUGAACCAUAUAAGACAGUGGAUAUAAAAGGAAGAAGACAAAUGCCACCGCCUCCUAUAGAAGUAGAUAAUAAUGAAGAAUUUGAGGUGGAAGAGAUAUUAGACUCAAGGCGGUGCCGAAAUAAGCUAGAAUAUCUUGUUCAUUGGCACGGAUAUGAUAUUAGUGAAUGCACAUGGGAGCCAUCCAGGAAUCUAGGAAAUACAUCAACUAAAGUCAAAGUUUUUCAUCAACGACAUCCAUCAAAACCAAGAUGAAAAUCUCUCUUAUAAAAGAGACAAGAUUGAGGCAAGAUAACAUUCAAUUUUCUAUCCUUGUUUGUAACUUCUUUGCAUUUGUGACGCUAAUUAGAUGGAGAACCAACAACCAGCGGAUUCAACUCAAGAACCUUCGUUUGCUGACCUACCGGACGAGACAUUACGAUUGUCACAACCUUCAAGAUGACACAAUCGAGAUGAAGAUCUUCAAGAACGACAUGUUCUUCCUCGAACAGAUGGUGAGAUACAACGCAUUUGAUAUCACGAUUUGGGAAGGGACUCUCGAUGUUUGGUGAUUUUGCUAGAGGUAGGAACAACUCCUGAUGGUGUUUCGAAUAUUCUAUUCGAAGGAAGUUACGAAGGCCUCAACAAUGAUCAAAUAACUGGGUGGUCUUCCCGCCCUGGUAUGGGACACUACCGAUGGUUGAGAGGCCCUAUCAAUCAUCUUCGAAGAGAACAGAGAUCAGAGUAUGUGGCGAAUACAAUUCGUCGCAUCAUAGAUUUCCUCAACAUAUGAUGACCGCUCCUCGUGGAACUCGUCUCUAGAAGGGGGGAUAAUGUCACGGCCAUAAUCAUGUAAGCUAAUAAUUACAUAUAGAAAUAGAUAGAAGUAAGUAAAAGUAGAUAAAAGUAAGUUAAUUCUAUAAUAUUUAAUAAAGAAGCUUCCUAGAAACUUCCUAGACGCUGCUUUGACUUCAUAGGUGUCUUUAAUUGACUUUUUGGAUUAGAAACGUGGUCAACAAGUUGGCCAUGUGCCACACAUGUUGUUAGCUUGAAGAUCAAGCUAACUAUGUGGCCCACACGUAGAAAAACUUGCCUUGUAAGUCAAGGCAUGUGUCCUACAAAGUCAACACAUAUUGGAGGUCCUAUAGAACGUCGCCACGUAGCCCUUAGUUAGAUAGUAUAUAUAGAGACAAGAGUGAAGGCUUCUUCAUUCUUGUCAAUUCCGUUCUUGCUUCUAGUCCAGGUUCAAGAGUCUUUAGUUUCUUGUCUUGUGGCAAUAGCCAUUCCAGUUUCCUUUUAAUAUACCUACUUGUUUAUAUUUUGACUUAUUAUAUCGAGAUAGGCUUUUGAUGUAUAUUUUCCCUCAUCGAGUCUUUGUCCUUGAUAAUUUGUUAUAGAUGUUGAAGCAGCUCCGAUCAUCUCUAUAUCUCCACUUUCUGCUAUUCUUGUUCUUUCCUGUGUUGGUGAAUUGAGUUGAUGCAUCGCAAGCAUUAACUCCCUCAUUUGCUCUUGCAUUUGUGCCAUUGCACUCUUCAUUUCAACAAGCUCUGCCAUAAUGACACUAAGAAAAAAAAUUUGUUUGAUAUUGCUCAAGACAAAAGAAAAGAAAGACUUGAUAACAAAGAAGAUACUAAGAACAAUAUCAGUUUAGAAGUGGGUAAUCCGCAAACUUCUAAUACGCUUAUGCCUUAUCAAGAGAAAGGGGUAAUCCACUCUUACUCAAGAAAAACAAAGCUCUGAUAUUGUAAGUACACUCUUGUCAAUCUGUCAAGGACAAGAACUCGAUGAAAAAAUAGUUCAGACAAGUAAGCCUUCAUUCAAAGAAAAGUAACAAAAUAUGAAUAAUAAGUAUGUAUAUUGAAAAGAGAAACUAGAAUGGCUAUUGCCAAAAGACAAGAAAACUAGAGACCCUUGAAACUAGACUAGAAGCAAGAAAGGAGUUGACAAGAGUGAAGAAGCCUUCACUCUUGUCUCUAUAUAUACCAUCUAACUAAGGGCUACGUGGCGACGUUCUAUAGGACCUCCAAUAUGUGUUGACUUUGUAGGACACAUGCCUUGACUUACAAGGCAAGUUUUUCUACGUGUGGGCCACAUAGUUAGCUUGAUCUUCAAGCUAACAACAUGUGUGGCACAUGGCCAACUUGUUGACCACGUUUCUAAUCCAAAAAGUCAAUUAAAGACACCUAUGAAGUCAAAGCAGCGUCUAGGAAGUUUCUAGGAAGCUUCUUUAUUAAAUAUUAUAGAAUUAACUUACUUUUAUCUACUUUUACUUACUUCUACCUAUUUCUAUAUGUAAUUAUUAGCUUACAUAAUUAUGGCCGUGACACUAAUAGUGGUGGUGGUUGGUAUUGAGCUUAAAAGGGCUUUGGCUGAGUAUGAAAUUCCUUUAGUUACAAUAUAUAGAAGAUUAGAUAGACUUGAAUAUGUGGCAAGAGCUUGAAGCACUAUAUGACAUUAAAAAUUGCUACAAAAAUGUAAAAAGAUCCAAGCUAUCAAGAUUCUAGUUUACGGAUUUGGGUUGAUGUAGCAAGUAGCAAAUUGGCAUUGGAUAGUAAUACCUGAUCAUCUUUCCAGAAGAUUUUGUAUUAUCAAUGGCUAUCCGCAUUUUGCUUCUUUCAAUUUUAUACAAUAAAGAGGCUAUGCCGUGCUUCUUGUAAGGUCAUUGUAAACCAUUGUAUAAACUCCUAUGUUGUAGGAUUGUUGAUAUUAAUGGAACAAUAGAAAAUUAUUGGCAUAAUUGGAUGUUGAUUGGUGUUAAGGAAAAAUGAUGAAUGACUAGUAUUUGCUUGAAUAUUAUCAUUGUAAGAAAACUCCAAGGGUAUCAAGUAUUCAUCCCGGUCAUUAUAAUGAACUAUCACAAAUGGCCAUAGCAUAUCCUCCAAGUUUCAAUUUGCAUGUUCUAUUUGUCCAUCUGUUUAGAGAUAGAAGGCUGAAGAUAUGACAAGUCACUUGAACAAAGCUUGCCAAAAGCCUCUUGUGAAGCAUGGAUUCCAAUCUAAAAUAAUGACACGAGAUAAUUCAUGGUGAGAAAAAAUAAUAUCAAAGCAAAUCCAUACAAGUCUUUAGACAAUAAUAUCUAAGUACACCGCAGCUAAAUAAAGUUACUUUAAGAGUCGGUUUACAAAGACGGUAACUACGAUGUCAUUAUGAGGCAUUUGCAAAAAAUAUGUAUUGAGAUAUAUAGUCACAUACUUCCAACUUACCACAAGUAGUAGAAUUGGCUACAAUAGUCCAAAAGAUGUUGCAUUGUAUACUUUAUCAUAUUAACAUGACUCAUAGGGGUGCACAAAAGCUUGAACAUCAUGAUCUAAAUAUGCCCAAAAUUAUGUUCUUAAGAUCUGUUCUAGAAUCUUUUUUUGCCCUAGAUAUCUAGAUAUUGGAAUGUCAUGUCUCUCUUAAAGUAUGUACAUCUAAAAUAUAGCAUUAUCACAUACAUAAAUUUAUUUUUUGAAAUAGAGCAAGCUAUUGCUAAGAAUGUAAUCUUGAUACUGUAUAUUAUCCACUUUCAGUUGAUCACUAUCCAUCUUAAAAUAAGCAUCUCAACAUAUAGCUUCUAUCUAACUUACCUCUUUGAUUAGGUUUAAAAUGAGACUACUAAUGGUAGCAACUUUUGCCUUAUCUCUCGAUUUGGCCUUCAAGUCUCAUCUUCAUAAUAAACUAUCUGGUAUAAUAUGUUAUCAUCCUUACUUAUACUCAAGCUAAAUAUUGAAAAGUUGUAAUUAUUCUUUCUAAUGAUGAUGUCGUGAUUGCAUAUUUUUCAAAUACAAAUCGUGUACCAAGGGUCGAUGGUCAGUCCAAACAACUACUAGCUUCUCCAACAAAUAGUUUUGCUAUACCUUUGUGGUAUGUACAAUUGCUGAUUGUUUUUGAUCAUGUACAGAGUAAUAGCACUCUACCCUUCUAAGCUUGUAUGAUUUAUAUGCCACAAGUUGAAUGCCUCUACCAAAGUCUUGUUGAAGGAUUGCUCUAAUUGCAAAGUCAAAAGCAUCAAUGUGAAGUAUAUAAAGAAGGUUGGAAUCAUACGGUAUUAUGUUGUAACAUGACUAUAUGGUAAAAGAUAAUAAUAUGGAUCUUAUUAUAGAAGAACCAAGUUAAAAGAUAAAGUAAAAAAAUUUGGAUAAAAGAUAAGAAGGUACUAAAACUUUAAAUAAUAGUGUUGUUUUUUUUAAAAAAAGACUUCUACUUACUUUGUAGGACCAUAAAUAAGGCAAAAUAAGGUAGAUUAGAAAAAUAAAAGAUAUAGGCAUAUAUAGGAGGAAAGACUUGAUGAAAUUUCUAUAAGCACUGAUUUUGGGGGAUUUGAGUGGAUAAUGACUUUGUAAGAGCUUUGCAAAGUUAAUGUUGUUUUUGGUGACUUUGGUUUUUGAAAAAUAAACUAAGAUUGACGUUUUGGAUAAUUUCAAGAGUUUGGUAAUAGAUCUAUAAGUAAAAUUUUCUAGAUUUGUGGGUGUACUUGUGCAAGAUGUGUAUUGUGAAUUUAGAUUUGAUCGAAUGGCUAGAUUAAAAGCAUGAAGAUUUUUGUGGGUUAUAGUCUCAAAAUUCAGGAUUUUGAAGAUCAAUGAGGUUUUCUUAGAUAUUUGUCAAUCCACUAAUUAGAUUGAAGCAAAUAUUUUUAAAAAAGUGGUGAAAUUGAUUUUUAAUAAGUGUGUACAUUUUGGGAGCAAAGUAACAAUUCAAUUAGGAGUAAUUGGCUCUCGGAGAUUGGCAUCAAGGUCAGAGAAGGAGGCUAGUCAAUACACAAGUAUAUUUUUGAUAUUAUUAUCUAUUUGGUAAUUUUAAUCUUCUUCAAUUUUUUUUUAAUUAUUUUAAACUUAAUUAAUAAAUAAUGGAUAAAAUUUGAGUUGAAAUCAAUGGUUCAAACAUUAGUUAUUGAAUUUCAAAAUCUAUUAUAUGAUUGUUAGAAAUUUGUUUGACAUUUAAAAUUUGACUAGGAUUUGAUUAAGAUUCUUGAAUUUUUAUUCUUAGUAUUUAAAGAUAUCUUUAUUAUAUUUAUAGGAUUAUAUAUAUAUAUAUAUAUAUAUAUAUAUAUAUAUAUAUAUUUAAGAUUAUUUUAUAAUUUCUUCAUGUUUCUUUUUCAAUCUUUUUAAGAUUUCUUUUGGAUUUGAUUAAAGCGUGAUCAAUAUUAUUAAGGUUAAAUUAGAAUUUAUUUAAAAUUCUAUUAGAAUUAUCAAGAUCUUAUUGUUGUAAUUUCUUUUUAAUUUUUAUAACUAGGUGCUCGGUGAAUUCUCAAGCAAGACUUCAUGUAAUAUGACAACGAUUGCAAUAUUAGAGUAGUAAUGAGUGUUACCUUCAACCUAUCAAAGGAACUUUGUUGCUCUAAUUUCCAUUCAAAUGGGGCAUCCUUCUCCAAUAAGUUUAUCAAUGAUAUAGCAAUGUUUGCAAAUUGUCAAACAAAACAUCAAUAAUAUUUAGUAGGGCCUAAAAAUAAAUGGACUUUAAAAGCAUCAUAAAGAGUUGGCCAAUCAUCCACUAUGUCAUAGACAUAUAUAAAUAUUCUAGUAAAUACUUAUAUGAUUAGGUAGGAAUAAAUAAAAAUAGAUAAAAGUAGAUUAAUUUCAUAAUAUCUUUUAGAGAAACUUCUUAAAAGCUUUAUAAAUGUUGCUUGACUUUAGAUGUGUUUGUAAUUGAUUGGUAGUUUAGAAACUUGGUCAACAAAAAAACCACGUAUAGGUAGAUUGCAGAACAAGCUAAUUAUGUGGCACACAUAUAAAAAACUUGCCUUGUAAGUUAAGAUACGUGUCUUACAAAGUCAACAUGUUUUGGAGGCCCUAUAAGAUAUCACUACGUGGCUCCUCAUUUAGAAUAUAUAUGGAGGUAAGAGUGAACCCUUCUUCACUCUUGUCAAUAUCUUUUUAGUUCUUAAUCUUAUUUCAAGACUUUCUAGUUUUCUUAUUUUUGGCAAUAGCCAUUCUAGUUGAUACAAGAGUGUAUUGAUGAUUUUCUUUCUUUGAAAUUUAUAUCCUUUACAUACUACUUUCAGCUUAUCUUACUCCAUGUGUAUUCCUUUGAAGAUGCCACAUACUCUAAAAAAAUGACUUUUGACUUUUAAAGUUCACAUUUUAAUUGCUUGCAAUAAAAGUGACUCUCUUGUAGCCAAUGUAGCACUUCUUAUAGGUGUUACUCAUACUCCUUAAGAAUUUUACUAUAUAUGAGAAUAUCAUCAAUAAAAACAACUACAUACUUAUCCAAAAGGUCUCAAAAUAAUUUGUUCAUGUGACUUAUGAAAGAGGCUAGAAUAUUAGUGAGGCCAAACGAUAAAACAAGCCAUUCGAAAUGUCCAUAAUGCAUACAAAAUGUUGUCUUUUUAAUAUCCUCUCUUGCAAUAGGUGUCUCCGAAUAUCCACUCUAAAGAUUCAAUUUGUUAAAGAUGAUUGCACUUUGAAGUUGGUCAAAAAGAUCAUCCAUACAUGGAAGUGGAUAUGCAUUUUUAACAAUGUACCUAUUAAGGCUUUGGUAGUUGAUGCAAAGUCGAAGUCCACCAUCUUUCAUGCUUGCAAAGAAUACAAGUGCUCUCUAUGGUGAUGUACUUUUCAAAUGAGGCCUUUCUCCAAGAAUUUUUUCAAAGUUUUUGUAGCUCUUCCAGUUCAUUCAAUUUUAGGCAAUAAAUUAGCCAAAUUACUGAUUUGGCUCAAGGCAAUAGUUCUAUUUGAAAAGAGGUAACUUGAUUAAGAGGCAUGCUAUUAGAUAAGUCAAUUGAAAAGAUAUCCUAAUAUUCUUGUAUGAUUUGUUUUAUUCAUUUUAUCCCUUUGGUAGUCUAUUCCACCAUUGAUGCAAGAUUUGGAACUACCAUAUACACCAAUUGUUUAAGCUAUAUUUUCUUCUUCAUAAAGGUCAUCUCUACAAAUUAGUCUUUAAUUACAAAUUAUUUUUCCUUUUCACUUGAUAUAAAAGUAUGAAGAGUCAUCUUGCGUCCACCAUCUUUGAAAGAGAUUAUCCUUGUUAUCUAAUCAACUUGCUUAUUUUCUACUUUCAGCCAUUAUAUACUAAAAAUAAUAUUAUAUUUUAGCUUUGUUAUCUUGAACCUCUCUCUUAGAACAUAGGUGUCAGUCAAAUCAAAGGUUUCUUUUUUACAUGACUUACUUAACACAUUCUCUUAAUCAUUUGUAAGGUAUAUACUUCAUUCCUUUAUUAUCUUCAUUUUAAUCCUAAAUCAGUUGGUAAUUUCAGUCAAGAUACAAUUUUUUGUAGAGCAACAAUUUACAAGCACUCGACAUGGUUUUCUUCUUAGUAAGCUUGUUAGAUGCAUGAGUCGAUUCUUCUUAUAGUUAUCCAAGGCCAUGCCAUUUGUCUCUAUAAGGUAGUAGCUAUCCUUAAUAUUAGCUCUUGGUUUAUUUACUGGAAAGCUUUAUUUCCUAGCUUUGUCUCAUUAUCGACUUGGUUAGUCUUGAGAUUGCAAACCCGCCUUGUUUUGUUGGUGAUUGAAUUUUGAUGUUUUGGACAACUUCCAAUUUCAUGGCCUGACUCUCGACAAUAAAUACACAAUCCACUUUAUACCAAUAUUUGUCAUCUUUGUUGUCUAAAUGAACCUUAUAGGACAUCAAUCUCUACUAAUAUUGGUUGUUAUGCCAUAGUAUUAGUUAGUCACAAAAGACUUCAUUCUAUAGGUCAUCUUCCAAAUUUUCUAAAAUCUAUAGCAUCGACCUUCUCAGCAAUCUUAAUUGCUUCUUCAAUUGUUUGUGAAUUCUUUAGUUCCACUUCUUAUUAGACUCUAGGUUUCAAACCUUGUAAAAAUUAAUCUAUCAUCUCUAUCUAUUAAACAUUGCCAAUAUGAGAUAUAAGGACUUGAAUUAAGAUAUAAUCUUAGACCAACCUAAAUUGUAUAAGAUUUGGCAAUUGAUUGCAUUGUUAUGAUGUAAUAUGAUUAUAUAAUAAAAUUAUAAUCAAAAUUGAAUUUCUAAUUAAUAUCUAAUUAUUUUGAUUCAAUAAUACUUCAAGAUAUGUAAAUAUGGCUUUUUUAAAAGCCUCUUAGGUUAUUUGCUUAUAUUAAUAGUUAGUAGAUUGAAGGUUAAUUAGUAAUUUUACCUUCUAGGUAUAGAGACUCUUUUACUAUCUUAAAAAGAUCAUAAAUUGAUAAAAAUAAGUCAAAAGAGAUAAAUAAUUAGUAUAGUUGAUACUAAGAUUAAGUUGAGGAUAGGAUUGGACUAAAAAAUCCUUAUGAUAGAUUAGAUUGAUAUCUGGAGGUUGACCAUUUAUGAGACAAGGUUGAAAUCAAACCUUUGGCCACUAAAAUAACCGCCUAGGACAAAAUAGAGUUUUAUUUGAAGAUCAAAGAUUAGGAUUUGACGGUUAGGUUAAAGUUGGUUCUAAAUAUAUAAGAUUAAUUUUAAUAGGAUUUGAGAAGAAUUAGCAAUUAUUGUUGGAAGUCAAGGUUUGUAUUGGCAACUUGAGAUUUAUGCAAUGAAAUUAGGCCUAGCAAUCUUGGCUAGUUUAUAAAAUUAAUGUCACAUCUAUAAUUCAAAUUUUUAUAAUGCUUGGAUAAUUAGGUAUUUUAAGUGUAUGUAAAAUUUUAUAAUUAUCCAAUAGUGCAAUUGAGAUAUAUCUAAGUUUUGGUACAAGAACAUAUCAAAAGUUGGCAGUUUGAGGUUGGGUAGGAUUUCUGUGAUAUUUAAAGAUCUACUAGUUGGAUCAAAGUGAAAUUUAGCACGGUAUUGAAGAACUUGAAGAUCAAGCUGUACAUUGAUUUUGAGUACAAGUUAAUAGUUAGAGAAGGAGAAAUCAUUGCUAGAACUUAUGCUUCACCUUUCAAGUUGGCAGCCAAGUGACAUCAAUGCAAUUUUUGGAGGUUUUUUCACAAUUUGUAAGUUGGAUUGGGCUAAAAAUUCUUGAGCAUGUAGAAAACUUAUAUUGACAAUUUCAUGCAAAAUUUUACAUCAAGUGGAUGAUCAAAUUAGAAUUUAUAGCUUUUCAAAGCUCCUUGAUUAUAGUUGGAGCUUAGAAGAAAAUUUUAAAUUGCUUAAAUAUGAAAGUAACAAUGUAAUUAAGGUUUAUGUGUGAUUGAGGCUACUAAAAAGAGUGUUUUUUAGCUCUUUUUAAUUAGAAUUUGGAUUAUAUUCUUUUCAUAUAGAUGAAACCUAUUAGGAUUUCUUAGAUGUUUGUGAAAUACAACCUCACUUUCCAAAGCUAGGUGCACAGUGUAUUUUCAAGGAAGACAAUAUAUAAUAUGACAAUGUGCAAUCUUCUUUAUAUUGAUGGAUCAAAAUUGAUUCCAAAACUUGUUUUCAAACUCCUUCCAAUGACAAUAUCUACUUAAGGUUCUAUAGCUUUUAACUCAAUGUUACCAUGAAAUUGUUGUUACAACUCUCAAAUAGUUGGCUGCAUACAUAAUUCUUUUAGUGAUAUUUGUCCUAGAUAGUUAUAGAUAUUGUUGCAUAUUAAAGAGCCAUUGAUAUAUAUAUAUAUAUAUAUAUAUCUUCUUGUCUUGAAGUCCUAAAGUAUAUAUUAAGCUUAUUCAAUUUUAACCUAGCAGAUGUUGACUCCCUUGUCCAAGUAGCUACUAUUUUUCCUUGCUAAGUAGCUAUCUAGGCUAAGAGAAGGUGUAUUUGAGCCUCAAUCUAGAAUUGCUCUAUCAUAUCUCUUAUGCUAUAAUUUUUUUACUAGACUCUACUAUUAUAAUGUCUUUUCACCUUUCGAUUGACUUUUUAGGAAUAGCUCAUAAUAGCCUCAGCAUAAUAUCCAAUGUGACUACAACAAUUGACCUUGAACUAGAUGAUAGCUAUUAACACACUACAAAAGAAUAAUCUAAUAUCUGCUUUCAUACCAAUGAAAUAAGACCAAUCUAUAUUGAAAUUCUAAGACUCUUUUAAUCCAUAGCCAUACAAAACUUCAUUACAAAGUAGAACAAAAUGGGCCAAAAAAAGAUUGUACAAAAUUAAAUAAAAUAGGACACAAAAAACAAAACUGUGUUAACAAAAGUAAAAUAAAACAAAACUAAACAAGAAGGUACAAAACCAAACUUGACUAAGAAAGAAGGUUUGAAGCUAUACCUAAUCAGAUGCCUAGAAGGCUUUGUCUAGUCCUAUUUAUACUUUGUUCUAUCAUCCUAAAUUUUCUAGAAUGUUCUUAGAUAAUAGAUCCCACUUAGAUAACUGCUCUAAAUUUCUUCUACAAGGUUCUUGGUAGGCCUCAUUUAGAUAAUUAUCUUAAGCUAUUUUUAGAAUGUUUUAUAACAGAUCUUAUAUAAUCUAUUAACUUAGCUUUAAUUCUAAAAACUUCCAUAAUUUUUCAAGCAUGGUUCCAACUAUCUAUCCCUAUGUAUCAAUGGUAAAAAUAUCUUAUCUAUACUCUAUUAUACAUCCUAUCUUUUUUCUUUUCAUUUUUUUACAAGCAAUUCUAUUGCAUUUUCUUAUUCUUUCUAAUUUAUUAUCAAUUCUUCAUCUUAUUCUUUAUUUUUAAGUAAGACAUUCAACUUCUCUUGUAACUUUCCAUUAGCCGCUUGAAAUAAAAGCUCUACUUUACUUUGAUCCAAUAAUUGCCUUUCUUUCAUUGAUAAAUAAAAAUAUUAUUUUUUAAAUUCUUUUAAUAAUUUUGUUAGUAAAAGAUCCUUCUUAGGCCUUUCAAUUUAUUAAAAAAGUUUUUUCUUUGUGAUCCAAUCACCAUCUUUUACAAAAAAUUCAUCUUUCAAUGCUUGAGAAAAUUUCUCCUAUAAACCUCCAAAAUAUCUUAUAAUAGACCUCACAUGAUUUCUUAUCUCUAGAGCAAUAGCCAGUUCAAAUAAUUGAACCACCUCUCUUUCUAGAACACAAUUCAACUCUAUUUCUUUUACAAAGUACUUUAAAUACUUUAUAAUAUCUUUUCUUUCAAAUUGAUCAAUCUUAUCUACAACUGCUUAUAAUGCUUUGUUUGCCAUAUCCUCUUUGAAUUCUUUAAUCUAUUGUUGUUACAUCAAUAAUGCAAAAAUUUCAAACAUACCUAAAACAAGCUUAAAUCUUAAAUAAAUUCUAAAUCCUAAAUCAAAUCCUAGACAAAUCUUAAGCCCUAGAUCAAAUAUUAGACAAAUCCUAAGUCCUAAAUUAAAUCCUAGACAAAUCCUAAAUUCUAAACUAAAUCUUAGAUAAAUCCUAAAGCAGAUUAGAAUCCUAGUAUCUAUUAAUUAAAUCAUUCAUCUUACCAAAAAAAUUACAUAUCACUCAAUCUCUUAUUUAAAAAUAAGUAUAAUAAAUUUAAAAAUAAUUGUACUUAUCAAAUGGAAAAAAAUCCUAAAAUCUAUUAGGAUAUUAAAUAACCUCUUAUUCCAAUCUAAAUAUUGAACUUUUGAUGCAAAUAUCUCCUAUAUGAAUCAUUUAUUUUCUCCCAAAAUUCACUUAAAUUAUUAAAAAUAAUGUCUUGUCUCUAUGUAAAAAAUUCUAACUUUAAUCUAAUUAACAAAUUUCUAAAUAUCUUAAAAAUAUUCAUUGAUACUCAAACUCUAACUUCUAAGAUCUCAAUCUAUAAAAACUUUUAUACUCUUCAAUCUAACUAUUUGAUUGAUCUUAAAUUCACAACAUACAUCAAACACAAUCAUAUCUAUCAAUCUACAAAAUUACAUCUAUGUAUUUGCUACAAAAUUACCAAAAUUUUCCAAAAUAUCAACUCUAUUUUAAUUCACAAAAAUCCAAGUCAUCCAAAACAACCUUGAUUUUUUAAAGCUUUUAUAAAGUCAUUACAAAUCCAAAUCAUAAAAAACUAAUGUUUUUAAAAAAUUUAUUAAGUCUGCUCUCAAAUGUUGUUCUUUGAUUUUUUAAAGAACCAUGGAGUCACCAUGGGUAUAUAGUUUUAUACCUCAGGGUUUGAUUUUGAUCUAGGUUGACAACUAGUCUUCUCUGGGUAUCAAUUCUUAACUUCUUGAGGUAAUUUUUGCUAAAAUAUACUCUUAAAUUCUUCUUAUAUAUGCUUAUAUUGUUUUAAUUUCUAAUUUAAUUUUUUUUGCCUUAUUUAUGGUCCUAUAAAAUAAAUAAAAGCCUAUUUUAUGAAAAGGUAAUAAUAGUACUCUUUAAUUUUAUUAUAUUUUUGAUUAUUACCUAUUUUCUAAGAUAUUUGCUAUAAGAUUUUAAAAUAAGAUCUUUUAUAAUAUAAUAUUUUUUUUCUUUCUUUCAUUCAUUAGUUGUAUUACAUCAAAACAACAUAAGUUAACUUGCAAGGCAAGUUUUUCAUAUAAUUAUCUUGUUUUGUAAGCUACCAACAUGUGAUUAAUUUAUUAAUCAAGUUUCUAAGCUAUCAAUCAACUACAAACACAUAUAAAGUCAAAGCAACAUCAAUGAAGCUUUUGGAAAGCUUCUCUAAAAAAUAUUAUGAAAUAAACUUAUUUUUACUUACUUCUAUUUAAUUAUAUAGAUAAAUAUUAGAAUAAAUAUGUAUGUCUAUGAUAUUAUCCCUUCUUUUAGAAACAAGUUCUAUAAAGAGGAAUCAUUAUAUGUUGAAAAAAUCUAAGAUAUAAUAAAUUAUGUUUAUCACAUAUUCUAAUCUUUGUUCUCUUUGAUGAUCAUUGAUAGGUCUUGUUAGCAAUCAAUAGUAUCUCAUACCAAGGUAAGAAGACUACUCUAUUAUUUGAUUUUUGUUGAGCUCUUUAUAACUCCCUUCAAAUAAAAUAUUUUAAAUACCAUAAAAAAAAAAUUCCAUCUUCUAAUAAAAUCACUAAACAUCAAGAGUUUCUUUUAAAAUUGUGAUACCAAAUACAUUAUAUUUUGCCAUUUAUUUGACAAAAAACAUAUCAUUCUUGACAAUCUUUAUGUCAAUUAUAUCAUCUUGAAGAUUGUGAAAUUUACAAUAUUUUAUUUGAUAAGUCAAAAAGUGAUAACUUUUGAGUUGAAUCUACUGGUUGUUUAUUCUCUAUCUCUUUAGCAUCAGGAAUGCACAAAAGUACAAAAAAGAAUAGAAGAUAGAAUGCUAUCUUUCUUACAUCUUGUUUCUUUUAUAUCAAAGAUUUGCUAUUCUUCACCUUGAUUAUAAUAAAUGUCAUUGAUGAAAAACCUCAACCUUCUUUAUUGCAUUUGUAAGAUUCUUUGUUGGCUCUUAUGUGUGUUCACUAAUAUCAUAUUCACACUAAUGAACAAGACAUUCUAACUUAUUUCGAUAUUAUAUGAUAAAAAUAUAAUCAAAAAUAAAUUUCUAAUUAAUAUCUAAUCAUCUUGAUUUAAUAAUAUUGUAAGAUAUUUUAAUAUGUUUUUUAUAAAUAGCCUCUUAAUUUAUUUUUUUGUCUUAAUAGCUAAUAGAUUAAAGCGUGGUUAGUAAUUUUACCUUCUAGGCUGUAGAAACUCUUUUAUUGCCUCAAAAAGGCCAUAUAUUGGUAAAACUACUUCAAAAGAGAUAAAUUUCUAGCACGGUUGAUACUAAGAUUACGUGGAAGGUAGGAUUGAACUAAAGAAUUCCUAGAAUAAGUUAGAUUGAUACUCAAGGAUUGACCAUUUGUGGGAUAGGAUCAAAAUCAGACCUCUAGCCACUUAAAUGAUCACCUAAAGCAAAACAAAGAGGCAUUUGAAGAUUGACAAUUAGAACGUGUGAAUUAGCUUUAAGCUUAUUCUAAAGGUGUAAAGCUUAUUUUUUUAGGAUUUGAAAUGACUUAGCAAUUUUUGAUCAAAAUUCAAAGUUUCUAUUGAUGACUUGGAAUUUAUGCAAUAAAAUUAGGGCUAAUAAUUUUAGUUAAUUCAUGCAAUUGAUAUCACAUCUAUAAUUCAAAAUUUGACAGUGCUUGCUUCAUUGGGUAUGCUAAGUGUAUGUAAAUUUUUUUGUUAAUUUAAUAGUUCAAUUGAAAGAUAUCUGGAUUUUGGUACAAGAGGAUAUUAGAAGUUGGCAAUUUGAGGUUGGAUAGGGAUUCUAUGAUAUUUAAAGUUCUAUCAGUCAAAUCAAGGUGAAAUUUGGAAUAGUCUUAGAAGACUUUAAGAUCAAGCUAUAUACUAAUUUUGACUUGAAGUAAAUAGUUGGAAAAUAAAAAAUUACUAUUGGAACAUCUGCAUCAACUUUCAAGUUGGCAACCAAGUAAUAUUAGUGCGGUUUUUGGGCUUUUUUUUAUAAUUUGUAAAUUGGAUUGGAUUGAAUUUUUUUAAGCAUAUAAAAGACUUAUAGUGGCAUUUGUGUCCAAAAUUUGUGAUUGGAGCAGGUGUAAGACAAUCACAUACUUGGUGUCCAAGUUUAUGACAACAAUGGCACUCUAGUUCUUCAUUCUUUUUCAAUGGAUUGUAUAAAUCUAGCUGUUGAGAUGCGAAGGCAGGUGGCUGUCGAUAACAUUCUUGAAUUACAUUUUGGAUGUAAAAUACUAGAGUAUCUUCAUGAGAAUUAGAAUCUUUAUCUUCAUUUCUUCCAUCUAUAGACGGCAAGCUAGUUUCACAAGAAUAGGUGGGGUUUUCUCAUUUUUAAUGAUGCAACUAGAGUCUCCUAUUUUGGUGGCAAAAUCUUCAAUAUUUUGUAAAUGAUGAUAAGAUCUGAAGGAAGUUCAUUUUCUUCCCUGAGAUCGUGGAUAUGUUUGUGAAUUGUUUGCAUAAAAGAUGCAACAGUUGUGUUGUUGCCCAUCCUUAGAUUCUUCCACCUGUCCAAGGUAGUCAUCACGUCAGCGAUCAUUUUUGCAGUCUGCAAUGCCUCUGUUGGAUCGGAAAUAUGUGACACAUAUGGUUUAACCAUGUUGAUGCGAAGGCAGGUGGCUGUCGAUAACAACCAUGUCAAUAAGAGAAAGUCGCAAGUAUCCCAUGGCUUUGGUCUUUCUUCUUCAGGUUUUCUCUUUGUUCAAAGGAUCCGAUCUGGAUAUCGACGAAGAAUUCACUGGUUCUUUGUUUUUGCCCUUUGGCACUUGACUUGACUCUGACUUUUGAAGACUCUCCACUCGUUGAGCCUCAAAAUUUUGAAUUCACUACUUCCCCGAGGGCUUCUCUUUCUAAGACACUCUAAAUGGUACUCUUCCAUGUCUUGUAGUUCUCGGGACCAGCUAUCAUUUGGUUUGUGGCUACUACUAAAUCUAUCACUUAACUAUUGCAUGCCUGAUCUCAGAAUUAGAUGAUGCUCAAUUAUACUAUUCAAAAAAGGAACUCAGUUACUAUCUCUCUUCAAUAGAUCCUCGAUCGCUAUGAUACCAUGAUACGCUAAACUAACCACAAUAAACACAAGUCAUCAGAGUAAGCACAAACUCAUCUGCAGAGUGCGAGCCACUACAGGCUCAAUAUUCAACUGUUUAUUCUGUUCAAUAUUCAACUGUUUAUUGCAAAUAUGGUAUAUCUCUACAUUCCAUUCAUAGAGAAUGUAUGUGGGAACACAUGAUUGAUGUUCAAUAGAAUCUGCAUGCCAUGCAGCUGGCUCAUGAAGCUAAUCAACAUGCAGUGAGAUUGAGCUGGCUCCAUCUCACAGGAAUUGCUGGAGGAGGAGUAGGAAGAGGAAGAAAGCUUGAAUCUUCAGAAGGAUGCAAAGACGAAGAAGACGAAGUGGAAGCAGAAGCAGCUUGAUACACACCUCAAGUAGUAUGCAUUUGGUAGAUGAGGUUGUGUGGGUUUGCUGGAAAAAGAAUCACCGACAAACAAUUCAUGGUACUAGUUAGAGCUAUAGUUUGUCUUUCAAUGAUGAAAUCAAAUACUAAAAGAAUUAUUUUUUAUUACAAACUCAUUUAUGCCAAAUUUGCAUGCUACCAAUUCAACAUUGAAUUUUUACACACAAUUCUCAAGAUAGUUUCCUUACGGGUAUUUAUAAGGAUACAGAGAUGAAAUUUGACUCUUAAAAUGGGUUAGAACCAAUAAUAUAAAAAAAAAAAAAAAAAAAAAAAAAAAAACUUGUUUCAACGAUUAGUCUAUAGAGAUUGCUUUAUUCUCAUAGUUUAGAACGAUAUUGUAUAUGACACUCUGUGAAUUUUGAUCCACUACCUCAAAGGUUGCAAAUUACUUCAUUAUCAGGCACUUUGCUACACUAAAAAAGAAAAAGUUCAAGGUUUCUAUUCCUUUGUCUGGUGCCCCAAGCAAGGACAGCAAACAAUUACCCGGAAAAGGAUAAUACCCAACACUUUAGAUAAUAUCCCUGCAAAUAUUAUUAAUCCACCCAAUGGGUGGAUGAAGACAAUUCAACCCAAUUCAGAUCAGGACAAGCAACACAAGAAACUAAAACACAAUUCACUUUCCCAGUGCUAAAUUUGAAGAGAAUUGGCGUUUCAAUUUCCCACAUCUGCAAGGAAUCUUUGUUUCGAAUAAAAAGGAAAGUGAAUCAAACUGGAAGAGUAAAUGCUAAGCCCCCGAAAUCAUGGUGUGGUCAAAAUUACAAAUCAUGGAAUGGCCGUAUUUGGAAAGCCUAACGAACAAGACGUGUAGUGACUACAAGGCACAGCUCUGAUUGACCCUGUGGAACCAGUCAAUGAGCAGCUUUGUAGGCUUUUGCCUUUGGACUUACAUUACCAAAAUUAAAUUAUCAGUUUCAUAAAUAUACAACAACCAUUUGAACCAGAGUUGAUGACGAAGGCAGUUUUGGACAGCAUGUGGAUUAGAAAGAUUCUUUCUGGGGAUUCUCAUCAGGUCCAAAGCUCGUCCUGGAUAGACCUUGGCUUGUCUUACAACAGUAAACAUGCUUAGCUUUUCGCAGAUUACACUUCUUUGGCAGUUCUCUGCCAUAUAAAUUAUAUAUCCGACUCCAAAAUUGACGUUUAUCUAUCUUCACCAGUGGGGUCCAACGCUACCGCGGCUACAUUUUCCCAACCAGUGCCCUAUCGUGGUUCCCAUGAUCUUCAAAACUCGGAGUAACUUCAUUCAGAGAUUCCCAAGUACACUGCAAAAGUUUAACCAGUAGCUGGAAGAAAGGCGUCAAAACUUUAAUCCAAUGACCACUGAUGCAGAUUAAUAUUGUAGAAUGUCAACACUAUACAGAACAUUGCAAAAGAAUUUUUGCUUUAUAUAAACAAUGCCUUAGAUGAGGCGGUUCGCUCACGAUGAACAUCUUUCCAGCCAGUAGAAAUGCAUGCACAAUGGUGUUAAUUCCAAUGUCUCAUUCAUAGUCGGCUGUUAAAAGUUGACCCCAUGGAGACAACAAAUUCCAGCAGUAGAAAUUGUCAUCUUAUAUUUUGAGUAUUUGCAAGUGAACCACUAGGAAUUUCUCUCUGGAUCUUCUGUUCUGAAUCCUACAGGGAACACACAGAUUGCCUUCGUGCAUGCCUUCCUGCAAACAAGCAAUAUAGUGCGGGAAAACUCAAACCAGCUUUAUAAGGCAGCAUUCAAAGACAGAUUUGGUCGAUCGAGCGGCGGUGAGGAUGGGCUCCGCAAAUCCCGAUUAGGGAGACACAGCAGAACAGUCCGCCGCACUCACGGGCGCCUCGCGCACAAUCUGUGUGCAGCAACCGCUGCCUCAAUCUGCUUGGCAAGAGCUCACAGGAUUCAAUCGCUCGUUGAAGUGCAACAACACUAUUGCUAAGCUCCCUCGAGAUACGCGUCUUGCUGUAAUCUGGGGGAACCAAACGGUGGUCGAAUUAGGAUUGUGGGCCUGUGCCCGUGUAGUUGGUGAUUCUUUUUUAUGUGUUUAUUUAUUUAUUUUUAUUAAUUUCCCGUAUUAAUGAGCAUUCACAUUGUUGCAAUGACGUCAUAUGUUGACCUUGUCAGGGGAGAGUCCCAGAUAGAGUGAUACGACCGUAUGCAGCUGGAGUCUAGAUGGGCGCGACUGGUGGAGUCAGGUGACAGAGUCGUGGAUUUGGAAGAAGCCUUCUCUAACGUCUUUGCACAACAACCAAGCUCAACGGGGGUGCAUCACCCAAAUAAGGCUCAGCCGAGCAAGGAUUUACCCAAGGAGUACUGUAGCUAUGCUGGGUUUUUGCUACGGGACACUAGUCGUGUCAUCCCUAUGGACUAAGCGGUGGUUAAACAAGAGAUGGAUUUUCUUUCCAACUUUGUUACCAUUGCCUGCUUUGUGGGAGGUAAGCCCUCAGAUAUUCCACUUUGACAAUGGUUAAUACAUGUGUAAAACAAGGUCUAGGGAAAAUUAACAAUCCAGGAAAAGUAUUAUUCUUAAUUAAAACUGGCAACAAAAAAACGUAGAGGAACCUAUUACUGGAAAUUCCAUACAUAUCAAUAUAAGAGCUUUCUAUCUUUUAGAAAUGGGUCCCAGGCUCUGAUUCCUUCUUAGAAUAAGGCUGCUUAGUUGACGGGAAGCCAACUAGCAUGAAAAUCCCUACUUGGAUCACAUUGGAACAAGUCACGGAUAAAUUCAGGGGAGUAAUUCAACAAAUUGCUGAAGAGAUAAGGGGGCUAUUUUGGGUGGACAUUGCAAACAUAAAGGCAAAUAAUUCAAUAUUUUGUUUAGUUCCUAAUUCCGAACUAGGAUAGAAGCCCUAAAUCAUGGUCUACGAGGAACAAAUUCAAAUUAAAACUAUAAUUUUAAUUCACUACAACUACUUGCCAAUUUAAUGCUGUGAUUGCAUCAAUAUCAAACACCACAUGUACAAUUUUCCAUACACUUGUAGCUUAAAAAAAUUCUUAGAAUUGCCAUAACUUCCAAUAUCACUACAUAACAAAGAAAGAAGUUAGUUUGAAUAAGAAAAAAUUAGCCUUUGAACAAAUCUUAAAGAAUUUAUAUUGGUCCUAUUGGCCACCUUAAGCCCACCCACUAACAAUGGAUUAUAAGUGUACGUACCAAAAUACAAAUAAAAAAUGCAAGGACAUCCCAUGUUAGUAUCUUCUUCUAUUUUCAAGUGAAUUCUUUCUUAGUAAUCUUAUGACAAUGUAGUGGUCUCCAUACAAGCUAGUGGGAUAGAAAUAUGCUUCCAAGCCUACUCCUUCUAAAUCUCCCUUUUCUUGCAUGAAUCAAAGGUCUCCACCUAACUCAAUGCUUAUUUUUUUGCAUGUCUAAGACAAGGUUGAAACUCCUUCCUACCAAUAGAUGAUAUUGUCGUAUGGCAUGAUUUGCUAUUUGGGAAUACACUGCAUAUCUAGCUGUAGAGAGUUUAGCUUAAACCUUCAUAUGAAUCUUGUCUUAGCUUCCAAAACUCCUUUAUUUUGCAUAAAACUCAAAAUAUAACAAAAUCCCUUCAAAACUUAUUUUUCCCUCAAAAGGUUUUCUCUUUCAAAACUUUAGAAAUUCAUAACUCUUGAUCUAGCCGUUCAGUUUAUCUAAAAUUUAUAGGAUAGGUAGAAUUUACCAUUAAGUUUUAUCACAAAAAAAAACAACCACAAAUUCACUUCCGAUCUUUUGGCAUCUAAGAAACCCUAGCAGACACUCUAAACCCUAAUCUACAAGCACCCAAGCACUAUUUUCUUAAUAUCUCAAGAACCCAAUACUCAAAUGUCAUCAAACUUAUGUAAAAAGUUUAUUAAUAUGAAUAUACACACUUCCUGAAAUUUUGAACCAAAAUCUUAUCAAAUUGCUCAAGAUAUAGCUCAAGACACAACCACUAGUAAAUCAGGUCUUUUACUACCCUUAGAUUUCAUGCACUGACUUCAAAAUCCAAUAAAUCCUUCACUUUAACUUAGAAUCCAGCAAGCAAUAUGUAAAAAGUGUAGCCGCAAAAGUGCUCUCUCUAGUCACAAUUGCCGAUCCUCAAUUGCCUUCUGUACGCGUGCGUUGUGCCAAAAAGAGUGAUAGUAGCUCCCAAAUCAAUACAUUAACUUUGAGCGCCUAUAUCUCCUUCAUAUUUACUCCAAACCAUACAAAACUUGCAUCAAAACCAUAGCCAAAAACCUAAAAUUUCUGAUCCUAGCCUUCAAAGCUCAAAUGGCCCUAAGAAACUAACCCUAAUCCCUAAUAUGGUCUCGAGCAGCCUCCUCAAAGCCCAUUGGUCAUGAUUUUUGACCAAUAGGAAUAGAGAUUUUCAUCAUCCAUCUCCAUUCAUCUAUAUUGGUGCCCUAAUUACUCCCUUUGCUACCAAAACCCUUCUUCAAUACUUUUUCUUAUAAGAUUUACAUAAUUUAUGUUCUAAACAUCAAAUAAAAGAACCAAAAUGAGUUUCCAAAGGUCACCAAUGUCUAACCAAGGUGACUCUAAAUAUUUAGAAGUUACUACCAACCAAAACCAAUCUUAAAAGCCACUAUCAAAAGGAAAUUAAACUUACAAUAAAUUCUGUAGUAAUCUUUUUAAACAACCUCUUUUCAAGGUAAUAAUCAAAUUAUAUUCUACAACCAACUAAAAUCUACUAACAUGGCUUUUACCAUGUUACUUAAUAAAUUAUAUAUUAGGUACAUAAUUAUAUUAUUUUCAUACAGUAGCCGAACCACAACACGUCAAUGUACACAAUAAGCAAGUAUCAAGUGAAUAAUGCCUCAUAACCUACACUUAAGAGUCUUAUCAAGAAGAUAGGUACUCACCAAAAUCUCGACAAGAGCAUGGAUUCAAUUAAAAGAUCUAUUGUACCACAAUUGCUACUACUAACCCACUCUAUCCACCAAUUUGGAAUCUUUUUCAAAUCUAUUUAGUGCCCAAGUACGUGCUAAUAAUCACUCUUUACAUAAUCCCCAUCAUUCAUGUAGACUCAUAUCAAGAUAGUACCUUAUACUUGUCAAGCCGCAAAUAAGAUCUUUUUGAUACAAUUGAAUAUAAUUCUCCUCUCUAAAUAUUGGCAAAAUAAGAUUUAGAAGGAUAUUAGAGACUUCAAUCUACCUUUCAUUUAGUAGAUAAAGGACAUAGUUGAAAAAUUUAUUAUUGGUCCAAAAAAGCAAAAAUCUUUUUAUUGUAGAGAUCUUUAUUAUUUAUACAUGUCUUGGUUAGAUUCUACCUUCUUCUUUAUACUUGUUUGUUCUAAAUUAUCAACCAAAUCUUCACUUGUAUCUAAUCUAACCUACUUAACUUUAGACUUGUAUAACUCAAUGUAAAAUUUAUAGAAUGAUUGAUACCUUUUGUAUUAGAUUAAAUAUUUCAUUUUAUCUUUAUAUUUUAAAUUUUAAAAUAAUUGAUGAUUUAAAUUUUUUAUAAUAAGUACUUCACUUAAGCUAAAUUUUUGGUCACUACUUUUUUUUCACAAUCCUAUUCUUAAUUAUCCUUUUAUAUAUAUCUCUUAAACCAAAUAUUACAAUGCCUUAAAACUUAUUAAAUUAUAUUUUGCUUCUUCUUCCUCUCUUAAGUCACCUUGAUCUUUCAAAAUAUCUUAAGAUGAAUCUAAGUUAACAAUCUAAUAUAUGUUCUCUUCUAUUUUUAUUCUUAUUUAAAAGAUCACCAAGAAGACUCUAAGAUGAAAAUCCACUACUUAUGGUCUAUCUUAUUUUUAUCUUCAUCCUUAAAAAUUCACUAAAAGACUCUAAGAUGAGAGACCAUCACUUGUGGUCUAUCUAAUGUUUAUUCAAAAAGUCACUAAGAAAACUCUAAGAUGAAAAUCCACUAUAUGCCAUCUAUCUUAUCUUUAUCCUCACCUUUUAACUUUCUCAAUUAUCAAUCUUAAGGCCAAUUCUUUAUUAACAAACAAACAAGUACAUGAAUUAAAACAAAUAUAAGAAUUAAAAUGAGUAUAUGAAUUAAAACAACAAACUGUUAAUAACAACUUAAUUAUUUACUUAUGAUAGAUAUAAUAUACAUGAAUGCCUAUUAUUUAAUUAUUGAAUAAUUUACAUCAUAAUAAUAUAGGUUCCAAUUCUAAGAGAACCAAGUUAAAGUAACACCUUAUAUAAACAACAUAUUCCUAUCAAGAAGAAAAAUAGACUUGAGAAUCCAACAUCAUAUGGAUGGCUUUAGGUCUUUCAUUCAAAUUUGCUAUUUAUACAAUUCAAUACUAGGCUUUAUUCAAUCCAUUCUAUAGACAUGAAAUUAUGAAUAAUAUUAUGCAAUGUCUAAAGGCUAAAUAAUACGGCUUCUUCUUUUGUUGAAUUUUAAGUUUAAAUAGAAUAAUAUUUGGAAUAAUGAGCAAUUCAAAAAAAAAGUUUGUUUCUUCUUGUAGCUUUAGCAAAAAGUAAUUGUAGUAAAUAUGUGGAAAGAAAAAACUUUGAUUUAGAUUGAUCUUUCCUACUUGAUGUACUUAGAAGAUAUAGUAAAAAAUAUUCUUUAUUGAUUUUAGAAAUGCUAGCUUUUCCAACAAGUUUGGAUCUCUGUUAGCUUCUUCCUAGGAAAACUAAUUCAACCUUAUGACUCAAUAUUGUGGUCCUUCCUAGACUAGAAGCAAUCCUUACUUUUCCACAAAACACUACAAUGCUACUACCGAGUUGAUGAUUUCUAGCUACUUCUUAAAGGCAUCAUGCUUUGAAACAUCUAACUUACUUAGAAUGAUAAAGUCUUCAAUCAGGUGAUGUGGAGUCAAGAGAAAAUAAAACAACUAAUAUGGCAAGGCCUAAGCAACUAUGGCAAGAUUGCUUGGUCUAAGACCUAAGUAUAGUGCGAUAAAAGUUUAGAUGCAAUAUAAGACACUUUGGCAAAGUUCAACUGGAGAUGGAGUAACUAUGAGAUUUUAUGCAUUAGGUAUGGUAAACAAGUAACAUAGAUACAAAGUGUGAAAGACAACUUUAAGGAACAUCUCAUAAAUAUUGAUCGACAUCCAGCGGUUCCAUUUUAACCAUAAUAACACUGCACGCCAACAGUAUCCAAAUUGCUGGCAGUAUAUGUGAUCAAGCAAGGAAUUGAAAUUGGUUAACGGUUUAUAAAAUACAAACCCGUGUUUUAACACUGUCGGCUUUUAUAUCAGUCCCUACAAUGAAGUAGGUUACUUAACCAAGAGGAAGGCAAAAAUAAUAGAUAACACUGAGGCAUCUUCAUCAUCCCCAGCAUGCUCCAAAAUAUGUAUGGCCACCAAUUGCUCAUAUUUGUCACAUGCCAAGCGUGCCUCUACAAUCAAUACUCUUCCAAACCCUUCACCUUCAAACUACACAACACGAAACAAUUUCCUAAUAACUGAUGAGAAACAUAAAUACAAGUGGGUAGCAAUACAUUCCUAAGUGAAUGCAGACACAACCACUUCAUUAGUCACAUGUUGGUCACAGAUCAAGUUUAUUGGCUUCAAACAGUACAAGAGCGUAUCAAGUUUGCCCAGCGAAAGACAGUCAACUUUUCGUGCAUCGUCAUAAAUCGAAACUUCAGCAUGGACAGAGGCUCAGGAUGAUUCAACUAAAAGAAAAACACUGACCCGAGCGAUAGAUUCCCUCUCCUCUAUCGUGACAUUAUUGGAAUGUGGUAUUACCACCACUAGCUGUCAGACGUUGUCCCUGCACUUAGACCCAUAGUUGGUUACACCCAGAGAAACUACAAAAACAUAAUAAAAACGCUUUCGUUGGCAAGAACUAUACAGCCGGUUCAGUUGAUACAAAAAAGGAUUCAUUAAAGAUUAAAAGCUGAUUGCGUAACUUCAAUUUUUUUCCGAAGUGGCUUCUUGCACACAAAUUUAUCACUUAGCAAAUGUAACUCUGCAGUAGUUAAAGUGAUGAGUGGUCCUGUCAAACCUACGAAUAACGUUCGAAUCUGUGACCAUGUAGUGAGUAACCUGAGGGUAAAGAUCCAAAAGUGCCCCCGAUGAGUCAACAUGAGCUGGUACAUCAGGGGCUGUGCCUAAAGCCCCCGCAGGAAUGGCUGCUGGUGAAUGUGCCUAAGAAAGCUGGAGCUCAGCUGCUUCUGGAACACCUUGCAUGGAUGAAAGGCUUGAGGAGACGAAAUCAGCACAGUAACAGCCGACGAACCAGCUAACGUUAGAGUUGUUCUUUGUCACAAAAUGUUAACAAGUGAAUCAUGAACUGGGAAUCUCAUGUGACGUACAAUUGUUUUUGAGCUCUAAACUUAAACUGCCUCAAUUAAAUUUUAACACCAAAAUCUAAGACGAGCUUGACAACAAUGACUUUCAGAAUAGAGACAUUUCAGUCCGCUUUGGAUUAUUCAAGACCGAAAGCAAAACAUGCACAUAUGUAUCACGACCAUAUCGAGAAUUCGCUGGAUAGCAUUUUCCGGAAUGUUCCCAGAUACUAAAUUCAAAGUAGCAUCCCCGUACACAGCUCUCUAGAAUUAGAGCAUGCAUUUCACAUGCAAGGUAUUGCGAGAAUGCUAUUUUGUGAUAAAGGAAUAUGUUAAAAACGUCGCAAGGAUUUGUCUAGAACACUUGAAGCAGCAACUAUGAAAUCACAAUAAAUCUACAUAUGAGACUAGUUUCAAAUUGAAAGCUCCAAGUGGUGUGGAAGAGAACACAUUGUUGAAUACAUCCUGAAAAGGACGCUGAACAGCAGUUCCAGCUCCAACCGGCUAUUAGAUGUCGUGUUAGGCACCAGGCAUAGUGCUUGGUAACGUGGAGCAGACUUGAAAAUAGGUGCUGGAUAUAAACUUCGUGAAAACAUGACUCUUUCAGAAUUCGUUCUUCUAAAAUUUAUGCAUUGUAACAGUAUGAAGGUGCUUCAGUUUAUCCAUGUAAUUGGCAGUCAAUACGUGCAGUGAAAUUAUCUCCACAGAGCAAUUCAACGCACCUCUGUCGACACAAGAAGAAGAAAACAUUCCUUCACGCUUGAAUUUAUAUUUCACGGUAAUGUCAUCCCUCUUGACCACUUCCUGAUAUACAAGAAUUUUCUGCACAUACAAGGGCUUAAUAAUUCCCUUGAUAAUGUACAGUUCGACUCUUAGUGUUAACAACCAAAAUGCAAAAGGAAAUAGGUCUAUCAAAUUCACACGUUCAUCCUCAGCUACACAGUUUUUAUGUGAUAAAGAAUGUAUUACGUAGCCAUCAAUCAAAGAAAAACCCUGCGAUAUGGAAAAACACAAAAAAUUAAAAUUAAAAAAGAAAAAAAAUAAUGAACAUCGUAUCUGAGAAAUUGUUGUACUCAGAAAUUCACGAAUGACAAGAAUUUAAUCUCAGGGAAAGCCAGAAAUAUAAAUCCAGCUCCAGACAUAAGGAAAUACAUGAAAGCUCCAUUGGAUACAACCAGUUUCAAUCAGAAACCAACGACUUCACGCUUUCAAUGAAAUUGCCACCUGAAACCUAAACACUCAAGCAUAGCUCCAUUUUUACAAGGCUUCUUGUUUGUAAUUUUCAAAAGUUAAAAGAAUGCAAAAGAGAAGCGACAAAUGCAGAUUAUCUUACUUUCAUGGAAAUGUAGAACCACAUUGGCUUUACCUAUCUUUUUGAAAUACAGACUUUAUAUCUUAUGUUGGCUAAAAGAUUAAAUAUAGACUCUUGAUAUAGAAUUGGUUUUUAAUUGAUUCAAAGAAAGAAAUGUUGUCAUUUAGUAACACAAUUAUUAGAUGAAAAAAGAAAAAAGAACUUUAUUAUUGAAAAGUCUAAUAGAAAGAUAUUAUAAAAAAAUAAGGAUUAAUAAUAAGAAGAUAGUAUAAAAUUUAGUCUUAAUAUUGCUUUUUGUAGAAAAUACUUCUAUUUAUAUUGUAAGAACAUAGGUGAGUCAAAUCAAAAUAAAUAAAAUAAGUAAUUGAUAUAGGCAUAUUUAGGAGAAGAUUAAGAAUAGAUUUUAGCAAAAUUUAUGUCAAAAUAUGAAGGAUUGGUACUCGGAGAGGACUUGUUGUGAACCAAGGUCAAAAUUAGACCCUAAGGUACAAAACUGUAUAUCCAUGGUGACUUUAGAGAUCUUUGGUUGAUUAAAGAAUAAGAUUUGAGAGCAUACAAGAAAAAAAAAAUUGAACAUUGUUUUGCAGUGAUUUGAGUAUGUAACAACUUUGUACAUGCUUUGCAAAAUUAAGAUUGUUUUCAAGUGACUUUAGAUUUUGAAAAAUUUAAAGAAUUAGUAUCAAAGACAUGAAUCUUGAAGAAAGAAAAUCUCAAUACACUCUUAUGUCAUUCAAAAGAACUAAAAAAUCAUUCAAAGAUACCAUAGUAUUAAAUUAGAAUGGCCAUUGCGAAAGAUAAGAAGACUAAAAAGUCUUGAAAUAAGACUAAAGACUAGAAUAGCAUUGACAAGAAUGAAAAAGACUUCACUGUUACCUCUAUAUAUACUAUCUAACUAGGAGCUACAAGACAAUAUUUUAUAACAUCUCUAACACAUGUUGACUUUGUCAGAUAUGUAUUUAAACUUGCAACAUAAGUUUUUUAUGUAUAUACCACAUAAUUAACUUGUUCUACAAGCUAUCAAUACAUGUGACACAUGAUUAAUUGUUGACUAAAUUUCUAAUCCACCAAUCAACUAUAAUACAUAUAAAGUCAAAACUAAGUCUAUAUAGCUUCUUAAAAGCUUUACUAGAAGAUAUUACCUAUUUUUAUCUAUUUAUAUAGAUAAUUAUUAGAAUAAAUAUGAAUAUUUAUGAAAUUAUCUUUUUUUUUAGAGAAAAAUUCUACAAGGAGUGGUCAUUAUCAUUUAUGGAUCUUGUUUUUUCAUCUUGAUUUUAAUAGAUGUUAUUAAUAAAAAGUCUCAAUCUUCUUUUUUAUAUUUACAAGAUUUUUUUUGGCUCUAAUGUGCAUUCAUUAAUAUCAUAUCUAUACCAAUGAACAAGAUAUUCCAAUCUAUUUUGAUGCUACCUUGAAUCUAAGACUUCUUAUAUGUCAAACUCUUUAUUAUUAUCCACUUCAAUAAGAAGACAUGUUAUUUGUAUUCUUUUAAAGAUAUUUACUAUCUUAUAUAGCUUAAAAAGAGACAUGUUGUUAUAUGGCAUGAUUUUCUAUUUGGAAAUACACUAAGUACUUAGGUAUAGAGAAUUUAGCUUUAACUUAUUCGAUAAGUUUCAAUAAAUGAUAUAUUCUUAUUAUAGAGGCUAAAUAAAUAUAAUAGUAUUAAAAAAAAAUUAUAUUGAUAAAAUCCUUUUAUAUUAAAGAAGCUUUAUACAUAAGGCUUUUUGAAUCAUCUAGAAUGCCCUAACAUCUUUUGUUAUACCAAAUCAUAUCUAAAUUAUUUGUUGAUAAGCUUGAUUUCUAAUAAACUCAAAGAAAAUCUAUAAUCUUCUUAAAAAAAUCCAUCUUUAUAUCAUAAUUUUGUCAUAGCUCCAUAUCUCUAUCUUUUAUAUAUAUAUAAAGUCUUAGCUUCCUAAACCCUCUUUACUUUGUAAAAAAUACCGAAAUUAUAGCAAAAUCCUUUCAAAAUAUUUUUCUCUUACAAAGAAUUUUUUUUCUCCUAAAUUUUAGAAAUUCAUAUAUCUUGAUCUAAUCAUUUAAUUUUUUUCAAAUUUUUAGAUAAUUUAGUAUUUAUCCUUAUGCUUUACUACAAAAAAAUGAACUAUAAAUCAAUUACAAAUCAUUUGGCAUCUUAAAAAUCCUAGCAGAUGCUCUUAACUCUAAUUUAUAAGCACCCAAAUACUAUUUUCUUUAUAUUUCAAAAAUACAAAUUCUAAGUACAACAAAGUUUGUGUAUAAAGUUCAAUAACAUGAUAACAUACAUUCAUGGAAAUUUUUAGCCAAAAUCAUAUCAAACUGCUUAAGAUAUAGUUUUAAACACAACUAUUAGUAAAUCAAGUUAGUUACUAUCAUUAGGUUGUAAGCAUUGACUUCAACUUCCUAUAACUCUUUUAUUCUAACUUAGAAUUCAUCAAACAAUAUAUUAAAAAUAUAGCCAAAAAACUUAUUAUUCAUUUUUCCAUCAAUUUAAAGAUAAAAAGUUAAAAAGAGCUUUAUAUCUACCUUAAAAAUCUUAAAAAAGAUUCUUUAAAAUCUUAAUAUAAAUUAAGUCUUCUUAUUUGAUAUUAUAUCCUUGGACAAUCCAUAAUAGUAAUAGAUGUUAUUAAGAAAAAAACUUAGCUAUUUCUUUACAUAUGAUAGAUUUUUUAUAUGGUAUAAAAUGUGACAUCAUGGUAAAAUAAUCUACUAUCAUAAAUACAAAAUCAUACAAACAAGACUAGAAGAUCUAUGAUAAAAUCCAUAGAAAUGAAAAAUCAUGGUUGUUCUGGAAUAAAUAAUUGUUGAAGAAGUCCAUAAGAUUGAUGAUAAUAAAUUUUUAAUCUUGAAAAAAUACCACAUAACUAUAUAAAGUCUUUCACAACCUUCCACUUUUGAAGCAACCAAAAAUCUUUAGAUAAAAGCUCCAAAUUCUUGUUGUAUCCAAAAUAUCCUAUUAUUGAAAAGUUGUGAAAUACUUAAAAAAUAUGUAAACAUUGUUGUGAUAUAACAUGACUAAUAGGUAAAAAAGAUAAAAAAAUUAUUAUAUUAUAGAAGAUCUUACUUCAAAUAUUAUAGCAAAUUAUCCUAGAAAAUAUAAAAUAGUCCAAAAUAAAGUAAAAUUAAAGGUGUAAAUGCUCUCUUUUUACAAAAUAGACUUCUAUUUACUUUGGAAGGCUAUAAAUAAGACAAAAUAAGAUAGAUUAAAAUUAUAAAGAAUAUAAAUAUAUAUAAGAAGAAGUUAAAAAUUGAUUUAAAUAAAAAUUAACUCAAAAAGAUAAAAUUUGAUAUCCAAAGAUGACUAGUUAUUAACCUGGGUCAAAAUCAGACCUCAAAGUACAAAAUUAGGUACCAAUAGCAACCCUAAAUUUUUUUUGAAGAUUGGAGAAUAGAAUUUGAGAAUAGACUUGAUAGGAUUUUUUUAAACAUUAAUUUUGAGUGAUUUGAAUGUAUAAUGACUUUAUCAAGACUUUGCAAAAUUAUAGUUUUUUUGUAUGAUUCUAAAAAUUGUGAAAUAAAAAGGAUGAUAUAUUUUGAAGAAUUUUGUAAGCUUGGUAGUAGAUCUAUAGUUAGAAUUGUGAAGAAUUAUGUGAAUAACUAUUUGCAGUAUAUGCUAUAAAUUUGAGCUUAAUUAAAUAGUUGAAUUGAAGGUUAUUAAAUUUUAAGUAGAUUGAGGUCUUGGAAAUUGGACUUUGAAAGGUAGUUAGGAUUUUUAAGAUUUUCAAAAAUCUACUAGUUGGAUUAGAAUAAAAUUUAUGUGCAAAGAUAAUAAACUUGAUUUACUACAUAUAUGUGAAAUUGGAGAAUAAUUGAAUAGUUUAAUAAGGAAAUAUUAGUAGUAGAAGUUCAACAUUCAAAUUAGAGUAGGAGGCCAACUAACACCUAAGAAAAUUUUAGAAUUUUUCUUUUAUUUGGUAUAUACAAUUAUCUUCAAAUUUUAUGUAUUUUUUGCUAACUUAGUUGUUGAGAAGUAAAUAGAAUUUUAAAUAAGAUUUAUGGUUUAAUCGAUAGAUAUUGAGGUUCUAAAUUAUAUUAUGAUUAGAUUGAGUUGAUUAGGUUUUGAUUAGGAUUUGGUUCGGGAUUAGGAUUACAUUAGAAUUUAUGAUUUGGUUAAGAUUUGAUCAAGAUUUAGGAUUAGAUUAAGAUUUAAGGUUUGGUUUAGGAUUUGUUUAAAAUUUAAGAUUUAGGGUUUAAAGUUUAUUUAAGGUUUAGGAUUUGGCCUAAGAUUUUAUUGAAUUCUACUAAGGUUUCUUAUUAUUUCUUUUGAAAUUUUUUUAAAGUUUCUUUUGAAUUUGAUUAAAGCUUGCUUAGCAUUGAUAAGAUUUAAUUAGAGUUUAUUUGUUAUUUUGUUAGAAUUAGGAUUUUAUUUUUGCAAUUUCUAUUCUAUCUUCCAAAGUCAAGUACCUAAUGCAUUCUCAAGCAAGACUUCACGUAAUACGACAAUAUGCUAUUCUUUUUGAAAUCUAUAGGAAACCUUUGAAAUAGAGUAGGAUGUUUUUGAACUCAAACUUGGAAGUAUCAUUAGAUUUAAAAGAAGUAUUCUUAAUAUCAUGAAUAAGAAGACCAGAAGAUAUAUUUCAUUGAAUUUUCUUAAUAAAAAUUGAAUCAACAGUCAAUAUUGAUUUCAUUGCUCAAAGAUGAAAAUACUUUGACUUCAAGAAAAUUAUUUUUUAUUGAUCAAAAGUUGCAUUGACUAAAGACUUGCAAAAUAAUUAUAAUACAAUCAUAAUUUUAUAAUUAUUUUUCAACUCUUUAGUCAAUUUUUUCAUUGAACUUAAAAUUAAUAUUUAUUUCAAAUAUUGAUUUGUAUUAAUUUUUUUUUUUUAGAUCUCAUACUUUUUUCUUUCUAUUUUUUUUGUACAUAUUUCUAUAUAUUUUUUUUAGUAGUAAAAUUGCAGCAUGGUAUUGUAAUUGAAAAUCAAUUGUAUUUCGAAAUACCAAAAGAUUGUGAUUAAUUGAAGUUUAUUUAAGCUUUUUUAGUAAAUAUUAGAAAUGCUAUCUUGUUUUGAAAUUAAUUUUAUUCGAAGUAUGAUUUUUUUUGUCACAAACUUAAAUGUUGUGCAUAAUAUUGAAUUGUGAUGAUUUUAAAAAAUUUGGUAAAAUAAAAACUUUCAUAGAAUGAAAAGUUGUAGUAAUACGUGGCAAUCUUUUUAACUAAGUUUUCAAUCUAUCAAUCACCUAUAAACACUUAUAAAGGCAAAGAUACAUCUAUAAAGUUUUUAAGAAGCUUUUAAAUAAGAUAUUAUCAAAUUUAUCUAUUUUUAUCUAUUUCUAUCUAUUAAGAAUAUUUAAAUAAUUAUUAAAGUAUAUAUGUAUAUUUGUAAUAAGAAGUACUAUUCUUAUGCUUAUAGUAUUGUAUUAUGCAAAGUCUUGUUUGAAAAUGCACUAAGCACUUGGCUAUCAAAGGUAAAUUGAAAAUCACAACAAGAUUCUAAUAACUCUAAUAGAAUUUUAAAUCAAUCCAAAUUAAAUCUUAAUAAUCCUAAUCAAAAUUUAAUCAGAUCUAAAUAAAAUUUUGAAUGAAAUUAGAAUCAAUUGUCUUUUUUUUAACAUAGAUGUUGAUCUUCUAAUAGUAAUUAUUCUUUGUUGAACCAUUCAAUUUCUCUCUAAAUUAAAAAAAAGUAUAGAAACCAAAGUAAAAUUUUGCUUCAAUUAAAACAAUAAAUUUUUUAAGAUCAUAGAAAAUCUUAUUAAGCCUAAAAUACAAAUACCUAAGAUCUUAAUCCAAUUAAACUUCUAUAUUCUUUAUUUUAAUCCUUUAAUUGAUUUUAAAUUUAUAAAAUAUAUUUCAAAAAAAUAUAUUAAAAAUAUUAAAAAAAAAAAUGUUCUAGUACUUUUGCUAUAAUAUAGAUAAAUUCUUCAAAUAUAUAAGAUUCUUUUUUAUUUCUCAAAAUCCAAAAGCUCUAAAUACAUCUUUUACUUUGAAAAAGUUCUAAAAAAAUCAAAAUGCAUCCAAAUCACUUUAAACCAAUGCUCAAACAAUAUUUUUAAAGUUUGAUAUUUAAUCUUAUUCUUUAAUCAGAAAAAUUAUCCUAAAAAUUCCAUAAGUGCAUGGUUUUGUGCCUUAGGAUCUGAUUUCGAUUCUAAUUUACAACCGGUUUUGUUUAGAUAUCAAUUCUUAGUUUCUUAAGAUAAUUUUUGUUGUAGACUAUUCUUAAAGAUGCUUAUAUUAUGCUUUAUCUAAUUUAAUAUUUUUUUCUUAUUUAUAGCUAUAUAAAGUAAGUAAUUUUUUUAAUAAAAAGACAAUAUUAAUAUUAAAAAGUUUUAAUAACUUUGUAUCUUUUAUCCAUAUUUUUGCUACUAUAUUUUUAAAUUGAGCUCUUUUAUAAUAGAAUUCAUAGUUUUAUCUUUUAUUAUAUAAUUAAGUUACAAUGCAAUAAUGGAAGUAGUCAAUAAUGAGGUCUAAUGUCUAUGUUAAGAAGUUGUACAACUAAAAAAAAUAAAUAGAUUAGUUUUAUAAUUGAAUUAAAAAAGACUUGUUACUAAAUAGAAUAAAAGAAAAGAAUAAUAUACUAUAAAAUUUUAAUGGAAUAAUUUUAAAAUUUCAAGGAUUUUUACAAUAAAUCAAGCUCUAUUUAAAAUUAUAUCCUUUUCUAAUAUCCUCAUGGAUUUACUUAGGUUGGAUUCAUAAGCACACUCUUAUCUAGAAGUAUUUUUUCUUGAUUUGCACUUGUAAAUUGAUUAAUAAAGUCUAUAUUAUUUCAAUCUAUGUUAAAUAUAAUUUAUAAUUUUUAUAUGAUCUAAAUUUAUUCUUAAAAGUAUUUUUAGCCACAUUUAAAAAAAAUGGUUGAGAAAGAAUAAUAGAGAUAAAACUCUUAUUUUUACAAUAAAAUUUACUAUAAGCUACUAUAUGUGAUCUUAAAUUCCAAAACCUUUCUUGUAACAUAGAUUUAAAUGAUAAUGUCUUUAUCAAUCAAUUUUGAUAUGAAUUAAAAAAAUAUCAAAUGUUUAUUUUUGAUGAUGCUAUAAGAAAAUUUAUUAAAAUAAUUUAUUAUUCAUGCCAUUCGAUGUAACAAUUGAUUUUUUAUAAUAUAAAUGUUUUUAAUAAAAAAUCAAAAAACAUGAUCAAAAUUUACAAAAUUAAAAUAUUUUUUGAAAAUUGUAAUAAAAAAAGAAAAAAAAAUUAUUAUUAAGUCACAUAAAUUAUAUAUAGUGGCAUUAAUAGUUCAUAAAAAAUUAAAUUCUGCAUAGUAUGUGGAUUUAAGAGCAACUCAAUAUAUAUAUCAUAAGUUAGAAAGAUUUAUUAAUUAGAAAAAAAAAAUUAAAAAAUAAUUUUUUUCUUUUAAAAAAAACUUAAUAUCAUAUAUUAUUAGAAAAUAUGAUAUAAUUAAUACAAGACUAUUAAAUAAUAAUAAAAAGAUCAUAUCCAAUAUCUUUUAUAUUCUAAAUCUUAUAAAAAAUCUAUUUUAGCCAAAUAAUUUGAUAAGAAUUGAGGAGAAAUUUAAAUAAAAGUUGGAAUAUUAAUAUUAUAUUAUAAAAAUAUAUAAUUACAUAGAUAAGUAGUAUUAGGUAGAUUAUAAAUAUAUGUAGAUUUUAUAAUAUCUUAUAGUGAAGCUUCUUAAAAACUUUAUAGAUGAAAAAUUGACUUUAGAUGUAUUUAUAAUUAAUUAGUAGGUUAAAAACUUAAUCAAAAAGUUAGAUAUGUAUUGCACAUGUUGAUAGCUUAUAGUAAAAGCUAACCAUGUAGCUCAUAUAUAGGAAACUUAUAUUGCAUAUAUUGCUAGCUUAUAGUAAAAGCUAAUCAUGUAACUCAUAUGAAGGAAACUUAUUUUGCUCAUAUUAGUAGCUUAUAGUAUAAGCUAACUAUAUAGCAUAUAUAUAGAAAAAUUAUCAUACAAGUUAAAUAUGUAUCUUGUAAGUUAGACAUAUAUCAAAGAUCUUAUAGAAUGUCACCAUAUAACUCUUAAUUAGAAAGUAUAUAUGGAGACAAGUAUAAAGCCUUCUUCAUUCUUGUUAAUAUUUUUUAUUCUUUAAUCUAAUUUUGAGAAUUUUUAGUCUUCUUAUCUUUGACAAUAUCUAUUUCAGUUUUAGUAUUAUAUUAAUUUUAAAUAAAUAUAUGUAUUUUUAAGUGAUACAAAAGAAUAUUGAAGUUUUAUUUGUUGUGAUGUAUUUAUUUGAUAGUAUAACAAGAGUGCUAAUUACUUGUUCUUAUUUUUUUUUAGAAUUAAGUAGAUUAUCUCACUUUUAUUAUUAUAUUUUGAAGGUUAUAGACUAUCUAUUUUUAAACUAAUUUUAAUUCUUUUUUAUAAAUUAGUAGACUAUUCUUCUUUUUGGAAAUUUUUAUUUGAUGCAAGAGAUUGUAAAAUAUAUAUUUUUAAUUUGACUUAAAUAUUUUUUUAAAUUAUCUAUAAAAAAAAAUUAUGAAUGAUACUUUUAACAAGAAUAAAAAUACACUAGGUAUCUACCAGUAGAGAGUUUAGUUUUAACUUAUUGACUAAGCUCCAAUAAAUUAUUUAAUCUUUAUAGUAGAAGAAAAAUAAAUAAUAUAAUAUCAAAAAGAUAUUGUACUAGUAAAACCUUUCAUAUUUAAGAAGAUUUAUAUAUAAGGCUUUCUAAAAUAUCUAAAAAUUUCCUAAUAUUCUUGGCUAUACCAAAUCAUAACUAAUCAUUUGCUAGUAACUUAAAUUUUCAAUAAUUCCAAAGAAAAUCCAUAAUCUCGUCUCAAAGGCUCACCUUUAUAUCAAAAUUUAAUCAUAGCUCCAUAUAUCUAUCUUCAACAUAUAUUUAAAGUCUUGACUUUCAAAAACCCCUUUUCUUUGUAUAAAAUAUUCAAAUCAUAAUAAAAUUUCUUCAAAAUAUAAUAUUCUUACAAAAGAUUUAUUCUUCUUGAACUUUAGAUAUUCAUAUUUCUUGAUCCAAUUGUUCAAUUUUUUCCAAAUUCACAAAUAUUAUAGAAUUUAUUCUUAAGCAUUAUUUCAAAAAAAUUCAACUAUAAAUUUACUACCAAUCGUCUAAUAUCUUAAAAUCCCUAGCAAGUGCUCUAAAGCGCUAAUUCACAAGCACUUGAGUACUAUUUUCUUCAUAUCUCACAAAUCCAAAAUCCAAAUGCCACAAAAAUUAUAUAUAAAUUUAUUAACAUAAACAUACAUAUUUUUAGAAAUUUUUAGCCAAAAUAUUAUCAAAUUACACAAGAUAUAGGUCAAAACACAACCACUAGCAAUUUGGGUCAUUUACUACCCUUUAGAUUCCAAGCACUAACUUCAACUUCCAAUAUCUCCUUCAUUCUAGCUUAGAAUUUAUCAAGCAAUAUACAUAAAGUAUAGUUUAAAAAAAUACUCUCUCCAAUCUUUAUCAUUGAUUUGUAUUUUCUUUCUGUACGUGUGCGUUAUAUCCAAAAGAGUGACAAUAGGUACAAAACUGACACCUUGAUUUUGAGCGCAUAUAUCUCCUUCAUAAAAACUCCAAAUGACUCAAAAUUUUUACCAAAACCAUAGCCAAAAACCUGAACUUACUAAUCCUAGCCUCAGAUGUUUGAAUCCUCCUAAAAGACUAAUUCUAAUCCCUAAUAUGGCCUCGGGCAGCCUCCUUGAAGUCCAUUGGUCAUGACUUUUGGCCAAUAGGAAUGGAAAUUUUCAUCAUCCAUCUCCAUUCAUCCACAUGGAUGCCCUAACUACCCUUUUUGCUACCAAAAUCCAUCUCCAAACCUUUUUCUUAUAAGAUUUACAUAAUAUAUGUCAUAAAUACCAAAUAAAAGAACCAAAAUAAGACUUCAAGGAUCACCAGUGUUUAACAAAUGUGACUCUAAAUGUAUAAAGUUACUACCAAAAAAAUCAAUCCUAAAGCCAUUAUAAAAAAAAUAAAGUUAUACAAAUUCUAAUAGUAACUUUUUUAAAUAGAUUCUUUUUAGGUAGUAAUUUAAUCACAUUCUACAACUAACUAAAAUUUAUCAAUAUGGUUCUCACCAUGUUGUUAAAUAAAUUAUAUAUUAAAUAUAUAGAUACAUUAUUUUCUCAUAGUAGUCAAACCAUAACAUGACAAUGCUAAAAACUUAUACAAUUGAGAGAAGUAAAUUGAUGUAGUUUACAACUAAAUCCAAGAAGCCUCGCUAUUAGAAGUAUGAAGGAGGCAAAAAUAACUAUACAAAAAAAGAUAGAUGGAAUAAGAUUAAAAUUUUAAAAUUUCCUACAAUAAGUAAAGUUCUAUCUAAGGAUGCAUCUUUUUUAAUAUCCUAAUAGAUUUACUUAAGUUGGCUUCAUAAGUGCACUUCUAUCUAAGAAUGAUUUGCAUCUUUGAUGGAAAAAAAAAUUUAUGAACCUUCUAUGAUUUGAAUUCAUUUUUAGAAGUAUUUAUAGUAAAAUUUUAAAAAAAAUAAUUAAAAAAGGAUAGUAAAAAUCAAACUUCUAUCUUUGCAACAAAGAUUAUAUUUAAUCACCAUAAAUGGUGCAGUAUUCUAUAAUCUUAUUUAUGACCUAGACUGGAAUGAUUAAGCCCUUAUUAAUUAAUUUUGAUAUGAAUUGAAAGAUAAUAUGAAAGAUUUUUUAUUGACAAUAUCACAAAUAAUAACAUUUUUAAGAAUAAAUCAAUAUAAUACAUUUUAAACUUCUUAUUGAGUAAAAAAAGACUCAAUGUUGACAAAAAGAUUUGUGCUUAUAUUAUGGAGAAUCUAAGCACAUUGCUUAAUAUUGUUCAAAGGAGCAAUUUAAUUACAAAAUGAUGAGUAUGAUUUUCAAAAAGAAUAAUGUAUUAAAAAAACAAAUUAUUUCAAUUACAACAAGAAUUAUGUGGCUAAAAACUUGCACAAUAUUUAAUAAAGGCCAUAUUUUUAUUUUAGAUCUCUUGUCUUGCUUUAUAAUAGAAGUUUGUUUAGGAUAAAAAAAAUCACAAAGUUUUUGCUUUAAUAGAUUCAAAAAAUUCAUCUUGUUUUAUAAACAAAGAUUUUGUUAAAAAAUAAGAAAUAUAUUUAUUAAAAAAAUUAAAUCUAUGCAUGUAGAAGUCAUAGAUGGUUAUUUAUUAUCUUUUAAAAAUAUUAUUUAUAAAAUAUUAUUUAUAAAUAUAGUAACUAAAGAUCAUAAUAAUUUAAUAAUAUUUAAUGUCAUAAGAUCUUCUUCUAAUUCAAUUAUUUUAAGAUUAUUAUAAUUUAAAAAAUAUAAUUUUUAAAUAGAUUGGAUUUCUUAUAACUUUGAUUUUUUUAUUAGUUUAAUUUAAAAUUCUAUUAAUCAAUUUGAAAGGCAUAAGUCAAAUACAACAUCUUUAUUGAUAAAUAGAAUAAACUUUCAUGUAUAUUAAAAAAAAAAGUGUUACUUUUUAUUUUAUACAAUACUUUUAUUUUUGAUAAUAAAAAGACUUUAAGUAGUAAUCUAAGCAAGUACCAAGAUUAUUAAGACAUUGUCAAGGUAGAAAGAAUUUUUCUCAAGAAAGCGCUAAGCUUUUAUUUAUCACUAAUUACUCAAUCAAGUCUUUAAAUAAGAAAUUAUUAAGUUUAUAUAUAAAUUUUUUCUUAGAAAAACAAUAAAAUCAAUAUAUAAGCCCUAAAUACUAAAAAAUAUCCAAAAUAUAAUAAAAAUAUUCUAAAACCUUAUAUAUCCUUAAGAAGAAUUUUUUUCAAACUUCAACAGCUUAUAUCUAUUAAUUGGACUAUCUAAAUAAAUUCAAAUUUUAUAUGAAGUAUUUAUAUAUGUUAAAAAAUUAUUAAAAUAAAUUUCAAUUGCAAAUUCAUUACAAAUCUUGAAAUAUUACCAAAAUCCUAACAAUAGCUUCAAAUCCUUAUUUACAUAUACUUGCAUGUUACUAUCUUCAUAUCUCACAAACUAAUUAUUUAAAUACUACAAAAAUUAGUAUAUAGCUUUUCAACCUAAUAACUUAUACUUUUAAAAAUUUUGAGCCAAAAAUUCAUUUGGAAACUCAAGAUAUGGCUCCAACCAUUACUAUCAAUAAAAUGAUUCACUUACUGUCUUUGAAUUACUUAUGAUUUCAACUCCUUAUAAUUCCUUCAUAAAAACUUUGAAUAUAAUUUUUUUUAUAAGAGACAUAGAUGUUAAAAUUUCUCUUGCAAUUGCACUUCUUGAUCCCAAAAGUUGCCAUAUAAUUCUUCAUAUCCUCAAAAGAGUAACAAUAUGUCUUAAAAGAUCUCUUAACUUCAAAUGUCUAUAACUUCUUUAUCUUAAUUCCAAAUCCUUUAAACUUUAUGCAUAAAUUAUAGUUUAAAUCCUAAACCUUAUAAUUCUUAAUUUUUUUUUUCAAAUGCCUCUUUUAAAUUUAUCAAAAUUCUUGUUAUGAUUAUAGACAGCUUGCUAAAAGCCUAUUGGUCAUGACCUUCAACCAAUAAAGAUCUUCACUCCUUUCCUUCAUCCAUCCAUGCUUUGCUUUCAUUCCUCCAAAUAAGCUUUUUAAUAGUUUAAAUUUUUAUCUUUGAAUUCUAAUAUUUUCUUAAAAUUUUAUAUUAAAUAUCUAAAUCUUAAAUAAAUUAAAUAUUAUAAUAAAAAUAAAUAAACAUCAAAAUAAAUUUUCUUACAUCAAUUCUUUUUAAAUUAACCUACUAAUUAUUAUAAUAAUUAGUAAUACAUCAUGACUUAUAAAUAUAUUAUAUUUUUUAAUUAAUUUUUAUAUAAUUUAAAUAAUUAUAGUACAACAUCCACCCUUUUUGAACUUGCACAUCCUCUGAUAUGUGCCACAAGCUAUUCUUCUUCAUCUUCUUGAGAUUUCUUUAAAUCACUCAUAAGUUCUUUUACCUUUGAUUCUUGGUCCAAACGUUGACAUAAGAAUUCUUUAAGAUCUUCUAUUUUGAACUAUCCAUCUCGUUUUUUGAAAGUUUUUACCUUCUUCUAUGCUAUUGAAAUUCUAAUGAUAGCUCCAUCUAACUCAUGUAAGGUAUAUGUGGCAUUAUCAUGAAUUGUAACUACUACAUAUAAUUCAAACCAUUUUUAUAUAAAUUUUUUUACAAUGCUAUGCUGAUAUUCAAAGUUGCUAUCAUAAAUUAGAACCCAAUUUCUAAUUUUUAUAGGUAUAGGCCUCAAUUUGUAAGUUUUGUCAAACCUUUCUUUAUUUUUCAAUCUUGCUUCUUUUAACCUCUUAGUUGCAAUUUUUAGGUCUUUAAAUAACCUUUCUAACUAUUGGAUUUGAAGCUAUAAUGAUCUUUUUUUAUUAAUGUCAUCUUUUCAAGAUAAAAAUAUCUAUAUAGGAUAGGUUUCUUUAGCUGGUAUCAUAGGUUUUUGUCCUAACAUUAAUUCCAUGUACAUAUAAUUAAUGAUAAUAUUAUGAAUAGUUUUAUUACUCCUUAAAACAAAUGAAAGUAAUUUAGAUCAUUAGAUUGGCUUAUUUUUAUAUACAUUAAUCAAUGCAUAAAUGCUAAGAAGAUGAUUCUUCUUAUUCUUUCAUUGACCUUAAGAUUAUAAAAAGUAAUCAACUUAUCCAUGUAGAAAUAAUAGAUGGACGUUCAUUAUAUUUUAGAAAUGUUACACAUGAAACUAUUCUUUGUAGAAGUAACAACUAUUAGUCACAAUAGUUUAAUAAUAUUUAAUAUAAAUAAAUCUCCUUCUAAUUCAAUUAUUUUAGGAUUAUCAUGCUUAGAAAGAUAUAAUUCUCAGAUAGACUAGAUUUCUUGCAAUUUCAAUUUUUUUCAUAGUUUCACCCAAGGUCCUAUUAGGCAAGUAAAAAUCCAUAAGUCUAAUAUAUCCAAAGUUUUAUUGGUAGGUGCAAAAGCUUUCAUGCAUGCGAUAAAUAAAGGGCCAUCUUUUGCUAUAUAUACUACAUCCAUUGUUGAUGAUGAUAAGAUAUCAAGUAGUAUUUCUAACCAAUAUUAAGAUUUUUAGGACGUCUUUUUAAAAAAAGAUACAAAUAUUCUUCCAAAAUAUUGUCUUUAUGAUUGUAUCAUCGAUCUUCAAAAAAAAAUUCAACCACCAUUUGAAUCAAUCUAUAGCCUAUUACAAAAUGAGUUGGCUGCACUCAAAGAAUACAUUAAUGAGAAUUUGGUUAAAAACUUUAUAUGCUAUUCUAAAUCUCUAACCAGCUCUCCUAUCUUAUUUGUAAAGAAAAAAGAAGGAUCUCUAUGGAUGUAUGUGGAUUCUUGAGGACUUAAUAAGAUCACCAUAAAAAAUAAGUAACUUCUACCUUUAAUUUUAAGACUUCUUGAUCAACUAAAUCAAGUAAAGAUCUAUACAAAAAUAGAUCUAUGAGGAGUAUAUAACUUGAUCCACCUCAAAAAAAGAGAUGAAUGGAAGAUUGCUUUCUAAACUAAGUAUGGACAUUUUGAAUAUAAUAUCAUGCCUUUUGGACUCACAAAUGUACCAAUUACUUUUCAACAUUUAAUGAAUGAUGUCUUUCAUGAGUUUCUUAAUAAUUUUAUUAUUUGUUAUUUAGAUGACAUUUUAAUCUAUUCUAAAAACACAUAAGAGCAUGAAGUUCAUAUUUGUCAUGUGUUCCAAAAACUAAAAGAUACAAGAUCAUAUGCAAAGAUGAAAAAGUGUGUAUUCCACACUACUCAAGUUGAAUUUUUGGAAUACAUCAUUUUUAAUGAAGGCCUUAUGAUGGAUCCAAAGAAAGUCUAGACUAUCAUAGAUUGAAAGAUCCUAAGAAUAAUAAGAGCUGUGCAAUGCUUUUUGAGCUUUGCCAAUUAUUAUCAAAUCUUUAUCAAGAACUUUUUUCAAGUUGUAGCUCUACUUAUAUGUUUGACUUGUAAAGACAAACUUGAGUGGAAUAAAGAAGCCAAAGCAUCAUUUAUUGCUUUGAAGAAGGAAUUUAUUUUUGUACCAAGUUUGUAUCAUGUCAACUUUUUUAAAGCAUUUUUUAUGGAAAUAAAUACAUCAAACUUUGCCUUAGCUACAAUAUUGUUACAAAUGAGAAUAGAUAACAAACUCCCUGUAGUAGCUUUCUAUUCCAAGAAAUUUUUAAUAGCCAAGAUUAACUAUGAGAUUCAUAAUAAAAAACUUCUUGCAAUUGUGGAUUCAUUUCAAGAAUGGCAUCAUUAUCUAGAAGGUGCUUCAAGUCUAGUCAUAGUAUUUACAUAUCACAAGAACCUCAAGUAUUUCAUGUUGUCACGUAUUUUGAAUUAUUGCCAAGCCCUUUGGAGUAUGUCAUUAUCAAGAUUUGAUUUCAAGAUUACAUAUCAACUUGAAAAAUAAUAAGGUUUAUCAGAUGCUCUUUCUAGACACUCUUAUCUUGCAUGAAAAGAAGAAGACAUAUCUUUUGAUCAACAAAGAAUAAUCUUCUUGAAGCCAAAGCAUUUUUGUCUUCAAGCAAUGAAAUCAAUAUUGAUAAUUGAUUCAACCUUGGUAAAAUAAAUUCAAUCAAGUAUAUCCUCUGAUCUUCUUAUUUAGGAUUUUAAGAAUCUUUCUUGUAAGACUCAUGAUGUUUCAAAGUUUGAGUUCAAGAACAAUCUUUUCUAUUUUGAAGGACGUCUAUAUGUUCCAAAAAGAGAAGCACAUUUAUGUAUUCUUAAAGCACGUCAUGACUUUCUUUCAAUGGGAUAUUAUGGAUACAACAAGAUUUUAGAGCUUAUAUUCAAAGCUUUUUGGUAGCGGCAAAUGUAGAAAGAAGUAAAAGAUUUUAUCCUUUUAUGUGACAUUUGUUUAAGAUCAAAAAUUCCUCAUCAUCAAUCCUAUGGACUUCUCCAACUAUUGCCUAUACCUGAACAACUAUGGUCUUUUAUCUUUAUGUAUUUAUUAUAGAUUUCUUAAGAUCAAGUUCAUAUGACUUUAUAUUCAUAAUUGUAGAUUGCUUCAUUAAAAUGGCAUAUUUUGUACCAUGUAUAAAAUCUAUUUUAAGUAAAAAAAUAACCAAGCUUUUUAUUGAUAAUAUUUAUUGCUAUGAUGGAUUGCCAAAGGAUAUUAUAUUCGAUAGGAGGAAUCAAUUUGUAUCAAGAUUCUAAAGAAUCCUUUUCAAAAUUUUAAAAGUGGAUAUAAAGCUUUUUUUGGCUUUUUAUCCUCAAAUUGAUGGACAAAUGGAAUGGAUGAAUCAACUUCUGGAAUAGUAUUUGAGGUGUACUAUAAUUAUUAUUUUAUUUAUUCUUCUAAUAUAUUUCCAAAAUAAACUUAUAAAAGAGAAUUUAAAUACCGAAAAAGACUAUCUACAUGAGUUUACACAUUAUGGUCACAUAAUUAACUAUCUUUUGAUUUGCUAAAAACACCCAAGAAUGCUACAGUGUCUUCGACAUUCUAUCAAUUUCUCUUCUAACAAAUAAAAUAUUACAAUUGAUAAUUCCAUCUUAUGCAUUCAUUGUCUCUUUUUGUUUUCAAACCUACAAUAAUAAUAUAUAAUAUUAUACUAUUUUAAAAUACUACAUAAAACAUUCCAUAAUCAAAUCACUAGAAUUCUCCAAAAUUAAGUGUCAUUCUGAGUAAUCUAAUUUAUGUAAUUCUAGACUCCACAAACUUCUUCUUAUAGAAUACUCUCAACUUUUCAUAAUUAGUAUACUAUAUUUCUUCCAUUCAUAUCCAUAAUUCACAAACAUAUUUAAUUCUCAAUUUCCUAAUAUUUUACUUAUAAUUUAGCAUACAAUAAAUUUAAUUUUUUAUUUGAAAUCAUAUAAAUCAAAUCCUUCUUUUAUUAUAAAAUUUCACUUCAUAUUAUUCAAAAUCUAUCCAUUACCCUUCUUCUAUAAAGAAAAUAAAAAUAAGAGGUAGCACUAAGCUUACCUCAGCUCAUGACUAUUACAAUCUAGUCCUUUCUACUUCUUCUUCAAUUGAUUUAUAUUUACUCAAAAAUAAAGAUUCCAACCAAUAUUUCUUAUUUAACUAUUUUUUUCGACUAAAUCAUCUAUCCUACCUCUUGAAUUGACUGUCAUAUGAAUGAUUAAUAAAUUUUAUCAAUAUCUAAUUAAUGUCAUACAAAAACCAAUUUCUAUCCAUUCUACAUAGCCCUGCUCCUAACUGUGCAGCGUCCUCACAAACAUGAAAUUGAUAAAAAAAAACUACUUCAAUGAAUCCUUAUAAAGUUUCUAUCUCUUUGGCUCGCUAGAUUGAUCAAUCCCAAUAUUCUCUAUAGGUGGUUCUAUUGAUUUUGAUUCUAAUCAUAAGUCCUCAUUCUCCUCCAAUACUUCUAUUAGCUCUCUAGUCAAUUAGGCUCAUAAGUCCUCAUUAUAUGCUCCCAAUUUACAAAUUUGAGCCUCCAAUUGUAAAUCUUGACAUCUUUUGCUUCCAAAUGGUGUUGCUGUUGCCUCAUCUUCUCCUCCAAUUCAUCAAUUAUUAAAACUAGUAGAGCAGAUAUUUGUGAUUGACCAAUACUAGCUAAAUCACUCUCCAAUUUUAUCACUAUAGCUUUCAAGGUUCCAAUUUUUGCCCAUAACUUUUUUAUUUCAGUUAGUUUUUGGUCUAAAGUUUGAAUGAAGUCCAAUAGGAUUUUAAAUAAGAUUAAAUUAAGAUUGAAUUGAAAUAUAUUUGAGAUAUAUUUAUAAUCAUUCUAAUAUUUUAUUAAUAUUUUUUAUUAUUUCUUUGUAAUUCCUUUGAAGUUUUUCUAAAUUUGAUUAAAGCUUGUUUAGCAUUGUUAGUAUUCUAUUAGAAUUAAGAUUUUAUUGCAAUAAUUUCUAUUCUAUCUUCCAUAGCCAAGUGCAUAGAGCAUUCUUAAGCAAGACUUUGCAUAUUACGACAACAUAUACAUUGAGUCAAAUACCACUAUUAAAGGAGAAAAAUAUAUCCUUUCUAGUACUUCAACGAUGUAUUUGAAGUUUAAUGGCACUAACAACUAGUCCAGAGGUAGUAGUGUAUGGAAUUAAGAAAUCAAGUGACUUAUUGGAAUGGGAGGCUAUAACAGUGAUUACACCAAGGCAGAUUUGAAUUUAUUCAGCAAUUGAGGUAGAGACUAAAGUUCUAGUUUUAAUGGACAUCAAUCAAUUAGUAUUUCUAUAGGAUAGAAUAUCAAAAGGAAUGAAUCUCAAGAAAGUUGUAUUGCCUCAAAUUUAGGUUUUAGUAAAAUUUUUGAGUCAUUUGGAGUUUUUAUGAAGGAGAUAUAGGCGCUCAAAGUCAAGGGGUUGGUUUUGUACCUAUUCUUACUCUUUUGGAUAUAACACACAUGUACAGAAAGAAAUUAAAAAUCAACAAUUAAGGUUGAAGAAAACACUUUUUUAGCUAUAUUUUAUGAAUAUUUCUUGAUAAAUUCUAAAUUAGAAUGAAAAAGAUAUUGGAAGUUGAAGUUAGUACUUGGAAUCUAAAGAGUAGUAAGUGACUCAAAUUACUUGUGGUUUUAUUUUAAUCUAUAUCUUGAGCAAUUUGAUAAUAUUUUAGCUAAAAAUUUCUAAAAAUAUAUAUUUUCAUGUUACUAAACUUUAUAUAUAAGAUUUGUAGUAUUUGGAUUUUGGAUUUGUAAGAUAUGAAGAAAAUAGUACUUAGAUGCUUGUGAAUUAGGAUUUUAGAGCACAUGCUAGGAAUUUUAAGAUAUCAGACGAUCGAUAGUAAAUUUAAAGUUGAAUUUUUUUAAGAUAAAUAUUUAAAAUAAAUCCUAUAAUAUUUGUAAAUUUGAAAAAAAUUGAAAAAUUUGAUCAAGAGAUAUGAAUAUCUGAAAUUCAAGAAGAAAAAAUCCUUUGCAGAAAUAUUAUGUUUUGAAGGAAUUUUAUGAUGAUUUAAACAUUUUAUACAAAAUGAAGGAGUUUUUGAAAGUCAAGACUUUAUAUAUAUAUAUAUAUAUAUAUAUAUAUAUUGAAGAUAGAUAUAUAGAGCUAUGGUUAAAUUUUGAUAUAAAGGUGAGUUUUUGAGAAGAGAUUAUGGAUUUUCUUUGGAAUUAUGGAAAAUCUAACCUAUCAGUAAAUGGUUAGUUAUUUCUAGUUAGAAAAUUCGAUCAGUAAAUAGUUAAGUUGGACUUGAUUAACAUCCCACCGAAUUGGUUAAAUCAUAGUCUACAUAUCAAACUAUUGUUGCUUUCAUAAAUUCCAACAAUUUGUGGUUGAAUGUUUCCCUCUGCAAAAUGUACACUGUAUAAUCAUUUGUGGUGGCAAAGAACAUUCGGUUACCAAAUGGCCUUGGCUCUUACAAUUACUCUACUACACAUUGGACCUUGUAUUAGUCGGUUUUUAUUGCUUCCCUUUAUCUUUAGCUAUAUAGACUGCCAAUUCUUCUAUUUUCUUAAUCAAGUUUAACAACAAAUUUUUAUUUAUAUCUUUUGAGGCUGAAACCAUAGGAAAAUCCUUUGUAGCCAUCAAUGGCUAUUAAUAAGGAAAGAAUUGAAAAUAUAAAAUUAUUGUUGAUAGCAGUAUAGUUUGCAAUGGCAUAACAUUAAUUAUUCUAUGUAUAUUAGUAUUUGAAUUGGUACUUGUAGCUAUUAAUCUGGGCUAACUAUUUGUGGUUCUAUUCCAUACUGGAACUCAAUAGAUAACCUCCUUGAGCUAGAAUCAUAGUAGCUUUUGUAAGUAAAAAUUAGUCAUAAUGACAUUCUUGCUACACUUUGGUCCUAGUAAGAGACACAACUAUUAUAUCUGGUUGGGCUUCCUUGAUAAACAUCUUGAGCUUAGGUGGAUACAAUUUAUUAAUCAAUAUAGAUAAAAUAAAAGACUCUAGCCUUUGAUUAUUUUACCACUAAUAGAGUAUAUCUGCCACAUGGCCAUAAUUAGAUUCUACCACCUCUCUUAGACUCAUUUUAUUAUUCAUUAGUCUUUCUCAAUGAUGAUCUUCAAAGCCAAUUAGGCAAAAAUGGAUUAAAAAUGUAUUCUUUAAUACUUCCCAAUUAGAUAAUAGGUCCAUUGGUUGACAAUUGUACCAUUCAAAUGUUAUGUCUUUUAAGAUCAUUGGUAGCUAUUAUAACCAAAUACCUUCAAUUCUACCAUUAUUGGCUAUAUAUGCAGUCAAAAAUUAAGAAAAAUGUUGAUUUGGAUUAUCAACUGGCCAUCCAUUAAAAUUUGAUAAUAGAAUCAUGCUAGUAGCACAAUCUCUCACUUCUUCUAUUUGUAUUGUAAUUAGUAUUGUUGGACUUACUACUUCUAUUGGAAUUACUAGUACGUCCCUUAUUUUCUUCUUAUCUUAAGUACUACUCUUCAUUAUUAAAAUCUCUAUAUUUUCAACUACUGCAUAAUAAUCUAUAUCUUCUAUUAGCUUUAUGGUUUAUAUUGGUGGCAAAAAAGAUAGAUUUUGAAAAAUUCUAAAAUGAUGUGCAUUUAAAAUUAAUAGACUUAAAUUUAAAGAUAAGACACUAUUGGAUUUUAUCGCAACCAAUAUUCAAAAUAUAUCUAAUGGUGUAACCAAUUCUUCCCUAUGUUUUUUGUCUUUAAUAAUUAAACUUGAUAGAAAUGCUGGACUUUUAAAUCAAUUUUCCACAAGUACCCUUGGAAAUUUCAUUAAAGGUAUAUAUAAUUGAAAUAUUAAAGGUCUCUCUUAAAUUGAAUAUAUUCAAAUAUGUCUAUAUGCAUGUAACCAUGGCUUUAUUCAACUCUCUUGAUGCUUCUUUUGGAAAUUUUGUUCAUAUUCUUCUCAUAAUAAAUUCCUUGCUUGUGCUCUAUCUUGUCUGUCCUUCAACUAUCAAGUCUUUCUCAGGACAGUGCUAUCAUUUUUAUUAACCAUAAUUCUUCCUCAUAAAUUUCUUGAAGUAAUAUCAAGCGCCAUCCUUCUACCACCUAUAUGACUUUAAUUCCAAGUUAAUUCAAUUAAAUAAUAACUCCAUUCAAUAUCUAAUCAUAAGCAGUCUAUAACUAAUUCCUAACAGUCAAUACAAUUAUCAAUCCAUGAUAAUGGUACCAAAAUGUAGUAUUUUUUUACUUAUUUGAGACUAAUCUAAUCAAAAUAAAUCUAUAUAGAUAGGUUUGAACAUAAAAAAAGAUUUUUUUCAUGAAAUAUAGUUAUUAAGAUCACACAAUUAAUCAUUCAUGUUUGACUAAAUUCAAUAGAUACAUAAAACACUGUCAUAUUGUAAUUGCUUAUAGUAUAUAAAAAUUAAUUAAGACAUAUAAUAUGUUCAUAAGUCUUGGUGUAUGUUAGAAUGGUUAAUAGAUUAAUUUAAAGAGAGUGGAUAUAAAAAACUUUAUUUUGAAUUUUAUCUAUUUUGAUUAUAGUAUUUAAAAAAAUUAUAAGACCUAAAUAUUUAAUAUGAAGCCUUGAGAGGAGAUUAGAGCCUAAAGAAGAAAUUCUUAACUAGUAGGAGGAUUAUUAAGAGGGAUGAAAGCAAGCCAUAGUUGGAUGAAGGUAAGAAAUGGAAAUCUUCAUUCCUAUUAGUCGAAAGCCAUGUCCAAUGGGCUUCAAGGAGGCUGCUUGAGGCCUUAUUAGAAAUUAGGAUUUUUUUUGAAGUCAUUCAAACUUUAGAGGCUAGAAUCAUCAAGUUUAGGUUUUUGGAAUGGAUUGGAUGCAAAUUUUGUGUGAUUUGGAGUUUUGAUGAAGGAAUUAUUGGCACUCAAAGGUUAAGGUAUUAAUUUUGUACCUACUAUCACUCUUUGGGAUAUAACAUAUGUUUAUAAAGAGCAACAAAGGAUUAGAGAGAACACAUUUUUUACUACACUUUUUAUAUACUGUUUGAUGAAUUUGGAAUUUGGAUGAAGAAGUUAUAGAGAGUUAAAAUCAGCACAUCCAAAUCAAAAGUAGUAAGUAAGUGAUAUUGCUCAUAGUAAUGGUUGGAGCCAGAUCUUGAGUUUCUCGACGAAAAUUUGGCUCAAAAUUUUUAAAGAAGAUAGACUAUUAUGUUAAGAAGCUAUAUAUAUAAUUUUUGUCGCAUUUAAAUGUUUAAUUUAUGAGAUAUGAAGAAAAUUGCACAUGAGUGUAUAGAACCUAGGGUUUGAAGCUACUAUUAGGAUUUUGGUAAUAUCUUAAGAUCCACAAUGAAUUUGCACUUGAAAUUUUUUUUAAUAGUUUUUAAAAGUGUAUCAGUACUUCAUGUAAAAUUUGAGUGUGUUUGAAUGGUGUAAUUGGAAGAUAUGAGUUUUUGAAGUUCAAGAAUAAUACUCCAUAAGGAUAUUUAAGGAUUUAGAGGUUUUAUCAUAUUUUGGAUAUUUUUGGAAACUUAAGACUUAUAUAUUUGAUGUAAUAGCACUUAAAAGUAAUAUAUGUAAUAACACAAACUUGGUCUUUCUUAUCUUAAGAUUUGAUUAAGCAAUUAGUGGCAAGUAGGAGCCUAGUGCUUUUUUGAGGUAAAUACCCUCUACUAUAAUAACGCUCCAAAAUAACUUCAAUUUUUAUAACUACCUAUAGUAUCCUCUUCACAAUCAAAUAUAAACGUUUAUAAUCUUCUCUCCUAUAAAUCUCCUAUUUUAUUCACUUAUCUUUCUUCAAUCUCAUAAUACCAUCAUAUAAUACUGCAUUGCUUUAACAUACUACAUAUAUUCAUUCAAUAUUCUAGUUACUAAAUAUAAAUCUUCAUUAAUAAUACAUUCCAAAACUAAUCAUUUCUUCCAUAUUUUCUUUCACAUAUCCAAUUCUACUCAUUUCUUAUAGAUCUCCUCCAUUGUUCAAUUAUUAUAGCCAAUACAGUAUCAAAGUAGAGAGAGUUUGCCUCAACAAAGCAUUGGGCUCCUAGCUCUGACUAAUUAUUCAAUCAAGCUUCAAAAUAAAGGAAGCCCUAAGUUUAUACAUAAAAUUUCCCUUUUUGGAGAAAUUAUACCAAAUACAUAAGCCUCAAGUAACCAAAAAUAUCCAAAUAUAUGAUAAAAUACUAUAAAACCUUGUAUAUCCUUAUGUGGAAAUUUUUUCAAACUUCAGUACCUCAUAUCUCCUGAUCCGACCAUUCAAAAUUAUUCAAAUUUUACAGGAAGUACUUAUGUAUUCUUAUCAACUUCCACAACAAAUUUCAAUUGCAAAUUCAUUGCAGAUCUUAAGAUAUUCCUCAAAUCCUAAUAAUAGCUUCAAAUCCUAGUUUUUAUACACCUACAUAUAAUUUUUUUCAUAUCUCUCAAACUAAAUAUCCAAAUGCCAUAAAGUUUGUAUGUAUAGAUUUUUAAUAUAAUUAUCUACCUUUUCUAAAAGAUUUGAGCUAAAAAUUCGUCCAAAAAUUCAAGAUAUAGGUCCAACCACUACUAUGAACAAAAUCACUUACUGCCUUUGGUUUAGAUGUACUGACUUCAAUUCUCUAUAAUUUCUUCAUCCAAACUCCAAAUUCAUCAAAAAGUAAAUAAAAAGUGUAGUAAAAAAAUAGCUUUCUCUAAUUCUAGUCAUUGAUCUGUCAUUGCUCUCCGUAAAUGCAUGUUAUGCUUCAAAGAGUGAAAUAAUAAUUUAUAUUAAAUAUUUAGGUUCUAUAAUUUUUUUAAAUGCUAUAAUCAAAAUAGAUAAAAUCCAAAAAAAAAAAAAAAAUUACAUCCACUCUCUUUAAAUUAAUCUAUUAAUCAUUCUAACAUAUACCAAGACUUAUGAACAUAUUACAUGUCCUAAUUAAUUUUUACAUACUAUAAGCAAUUACGGUAUGACAACGACACAAUAUCAUCCCUCAUAGUUGAACUACACCGAUAUCUUUAGUCAUUGGCUUCCAAUCCACCAAAUAGAACUUAAUAAUUAUAAAUUCAAUUUCUUACUCAAUAACAUAAAUAUCCAAUUUUUAUUUCAUUAUAAUACUCUUGAUUUAUAUUGUUUAAUAAUCAAAUUGGAUCUCAAUCUCUCAACUUUGGUAUUAUCAUAAAAGAAAAUAAAACAAAGAAAAAACAAGAGAUAGCAUCAACCUAACUACAACUCUAAACUUUCACAAUUCAAGCCUUUUUUACUUAUUCUUUAACAUAUUUAUACUAACUCCCUUAUAUCAAUCAUUAUAAAUCCAAUAUUAAUUAUUUUUCCUUUUUAAUCAUCUAUUAUAUCAUUUAAACUAUCCAUUUAUCAAUUUAUUGACUUUUUUUAUUUCUACAUUCAAUGUAUUAUGAGACAAAAAGAUCCUAUCUAUUCUAUAUAGCCCCACUCUUAAUUGUGUAGUAUCCUUGUAAAUAAAGAAUUAAUAAAUUCUUUUCAACAAAUCCUUACAAAUUUUAUAGCACUUUGAGCUUAUUGGAUUGAUCAAUUCUAAUAUUCAAAAGAGGUGGUUUCAUAGGUUCUAGCUUUAAUGAUAAGUCUUCAUCCUCUUCUAAUACUUCAAUCAACUUUUUCUUCAAUUGGGCUGAUAAGUCUUCAUUGUACGCUCCUAAUUCACAAACUUAGGCCUCCAAUUGCAAAAUCCGGAUAUUCUUCACUCCCAAUUGGUGCUGCUAUUGCCUCACCUUCUCUUUCAAUUCACAAAUUAUUGAAAUUAGUAGGAUAGGCAUCUAUGACUGACCAAUUAUGGCUAGAUUACCAUCCAAUUUUGUCACUAGGUUUCAAGGUUUUGAUUUUAAUCCGUAAUUCUUUUAUUUCAAUCCUAUAUUGAUCAAUCAAUAUCUUCUUUUUAUGUUCUAGUAUUGUCUUUAUUAGUCAAGCGUGUAAGUAGAGCUGCAACUCGUGAAAAGUCUUUGAUGAAGAUCUGAUAGUAAUUGGCAAAUGCCAAGAAACAUUGGACAUCUCUUACUGUCCUUGGAAUCUUCCAAUCCAUGAUUGUCUGGACUUUCUUAGAAUCCAUCAUGAGACCAUCAUUUGAAAUGAUGUAUCCUAAAAAGUCAACUUGAGUAGUGUGAAAUAUACACUUUUUCAUCUUGGCGUACAAUCUUGCAUCUUUAAGUUUUUGUAAUACUUGACGAACAUGUAUUUCAUGCUCUUCGACGUUGUUCGAAUAGAUCAGGAUAUCGUCUAGGUAGCAGACGAUAAAAUUGUCUAAGAAUUCAUGAAAUACAUCAUUCAUGAGAUGUUGAAAAGCAGCUGGUGCAUUCGUGAGUCCAAAAGGCAUGACAUUAUAUUCAAAAUGUCCAUACCUGGUUCGAAACGCAGUCUUCCAUUCAUCUCCUUCCUUGAUUCGUACUAAAUUAUAUGCUCCUCUUAGAUCUAUUUUUGUAUAAAUCUUAGCUUGAUUCAACUGGUCAAGGAGUCCUGAGAUCAAAGGUAAUGGAUACCUGUUCUUGAUUGUGAUCUUGUUGAGUCCUUGAUAGUCAACACACAUUCGCAAAGAUCCAUCUUUUUUCUUUACGAAUAGAAUUGGAGCUCCUGUUGGAGAUUUUGAAUGGCAUAUGAAAUUCUUCGCUAAAUUCUCGUCAAUAUAUGUCUUGAGUUGAGCCAACUCAUCUUGCGAUAAAUUGUAAAUUGGUCCAAAUGGUGGCUGAGUUCCUUCCUUGAGGUCGAUUGAACAAUUGUCACGGACACAAAAUACAGACUUGAAAUCUAACAAGAAGUUCAAGAAGAAGUGGCAGAACUAGAUUAAACAGAUGAGUACAAGAACAACACCAGAAAGGUGAGCUAGAACUCCAAGAGAUGUGUUGUCGAGACUGAAGAACUCUUCAGCCUCGACUCCUAUAUAUACUACUGGUCUAUGGUUCUAAAGAAGCGCAUCAAGAAGCUUCCCAAGAACUAUGAAGCUUCUCGAGCAACUACCCAAGAGCUAGGAAGCUUCUCAAGUAACUUCCUAGAAUCUACUAGAAUAUUCUAAGAAUCUUCUAGAGCCUUCUAAGGGAAUCUUUAGGGAAUCUUCAAAGAAUCUUUAGGGAAUCUUUGAAGAAUAUUCUAAGAGAAUAUUGAAGGAAUCUUCUGGAAGUUUCUAGAGACUUCUUUCUAGAAGGUUCUAGAAACUUGUCUCUAGAAAGGUCUAAGGACUAUGUCCUUAAUAUCACCUCCUCCUUUAGCUUCGAGGUCUCCGAGAAGCAAUGUUAUCGUCAGUCAAUACCAACGCAAGAAAAUGAAGAUCUGUCGCAUAAUCUCUGCUAUGAACUCCAAUUGUUGUUCACGAGGCAAGUGAUUCAAUGGUCCUUGAAGCCAACGGUAGUCACCCACGCCUUCAACUUCUGACCAAGCAUGAACCUCCGUGUCUUCAUUGUGAAAUUAUCCUGCAAACACUCCUUCUGGCUGACCAUUGUAGGCAGGCUCGACCUCAAAUACAAUCACCAACGAUCUGUUGCUCGGAAUCCUUCGACGUCGUCGUGGUGCAGGCGGUUCUUCAUCUCGCGGUCGUCUUCGCGAGCUAGUUGCUUGAGAUGACAUGACAAGUGUAGUAUCUUGGCUAUCCAUAUUCAAAGGCUAAAACAAUAAGAACAAACUUGGACUACUAACAAAGUUCUACGCUAUCUUGGAGAGAAUGACUACAUCAACUAUGGAUUUUGGUGGUGCUCUCUCCUCUUUUCUAUUUUCUGGAUGAGCAAGCUUCAGUAAGAAGCUAUCGUCAAACCGGCUUGGGUUUCUCAGGAUAUAGUCGAUGAAACUCCUGUAGCUUUUGUGACGCAUUCGCGAGAUUUUUGGCCGGCUCCCAUGUUCGUUCAUUAAUAUCGUAACCGCUCCAAUGCACAAAGUAUUCUAAUUUACCCCAUCUUUGCCAUGAAUCCAGAACCUUUUUCACCUCGUAUUCUUCGUGGUUCUCUAUUUCUAUGCUAGGUGGUGGACAUUGUACUCUUCCAGGAAAAGACGAUUCUCGAUAAGGCUCCAACAAAGAAACAUGAAAGACAGGAUGUACCUUCAUAGUAGCUGGUAACUCCAGACGAUACGCUACAGGAUUGAUCUGCUUCUAGAUAACAAAUGGUCUCAAUCUCCGAUAGUCCAAUUUGUCACAUGGCCGCUUAGUCUUAAUAUUUCGUCGAAGCAGCCAAACUUUGUCUCCAAUCGUGAAUUUAGGUGCCUGAUUUCGAAAUUUGUCCGCAGACGCCUUGUAAGAUUCUUGAGCAGUUUGCAAUUGAAGCUUCAAUGUAGUUUGAAGCUGCGAAAGCUCCUUCACCAAUCCUUCAGCUGCCGGAUUGUUAAUCGUUGACAAACUCCUAUCAAGGACAAAGACUCGAUGAGGAAAAAUAUAAACCAAAAGGCUAUCUCGAUAUAAUAAGUCAAAAUAUAAACAAGUAGGUAUAUUAAAAGGAAACUGGAAUGGCUAUUGCCACAAGACAAGAAACUAAAGACUCUUGAACCUGGACUAGAAGCAAGAAAGAAGUUGACAAGAGUGAAGAAGCCUUCACUCUUGUCUCUAUAUAUACUAUCUAACUAGGGGCUACGUGGCGACGUUCUAUAGGACCUCCAAUAUGUGUUGACUUUGUAGGACACAUGCCUUGACUUACAAGGCAAGUUUUUCUACGUGUGGGCCACAUAGUUAGCUUGAUCUUCAAGCUAACAACAUGUGUGGCACAUGGCCAACUUGUUGACCACGUUUCUAAUCCAAAAAGUCAAUUAAAGACACCUAUGAAGUCAAAGCAGCGUCUAGGAAGUUUCUAGGAAGCUUCUAUAUUAAAUAUUAUAGAAUUAACUUACUUUUAUCUACUUUUACUUACUUCUACCUAUUUCUAUAUGUAAUUAUUAGCUUACAUGAUUAUGGCCGUGACAUUACCCCCCCUUCUAGAGACGAGUUCCACGAAGAGCGGUCAUCAUAUGUUGAGGAAAUCUAUGAUGCGACGAAUUGUAUUCGCCACAUACUCUGAUCUCUGUUCUCUUCGAAGAUGAUUGAUAGGGCCUCUCAACCAUCGGUAGUGUCCCAUACCAGGGCGGGAAGACCACCCAGUUAUUUGAUCAUUAUUGAGGCCUUCAUAACUUCCUUCGAAUAGAAUAUUCGGAACACCAUCAGGAGUUGUUCCUACCUCUAGCAAAAUCACCAAACAUCGGGAGUCCCUUCCCAAAUCAUGAUACCAAACGCGUUGUAUCUCACCAUCUGUUCGAGGAAGAACAUGUCGUUCUUGAAGAUCUUCAUCUCGAUUGCGUCGUCUUGAAGGUUGUGAGAAUCGUAAUGUCUCGUCCGGCAGGUCAGCAAACGAAGGUUCUUGAGUUGAAUCUGCUGGUUGUUGGCUCUCCAUCUAAUUAGCGUCACAAAUGCAAAGAAGUUACAAACAAGGAUAGAAAAUUGAAUGUUAUCUUGCCUCAAUCUUGUCUCUUUUAUAAGAGAGAUUUUCAUCUUGGUUUUGAUGGAUGUCGUUGAUGAAAAACUUUGACUUUAGUUGAUGCAUUUGCUAGAUUCCUGGAUGGCUCCCAUGUGCGUUCACUAAUAUCAUAUCCGCGCCAAUGAACAAGAUAUUCCAGCUUAUUUCGGCGCCGCCUUGAGUCUAAUAUCUCUUCCACCUCAAAUUCUUCAUUAUUAUCUACUUCUAUAGGAGGCGGUGGCAUUUGUCUUCUUCCUUGUAUAUCCACUGUCUUAUAUGGUUCAAGAAGAGAUACGUGGAAUACAGGAUGGAUCUUCAUUGACUCUAGUAGAUGUAACCGAUAUGCAACUAGGUUGAUCUGUUCAGAAACAGAAAAGGGGCCAAGCCUACGAUAGUCCAACUUGUCACAAGGUCGAGUAGUCUUGAUAUUGC
rnacentral:lncRNA from 1 species